rnacentral:lncRNA from 1 species
UAUUCAAUAAUGUUAUUGGUCCCCCAUGUGCAGAAGGGCGCGCGCGUAUGGAAUAACAAGUAGGGACACUGCAACUAAUCUACUCUGCUCGUCCAGUCCCUAGCCUAUAAAUAGAUGCCAUGCUAGCUCUUGUUGUGCUCACAAUUAAUCCGAUUACACACGAGCUUCUCUCCCUGGCCAAGACACAACCAUAGUAUGAUGAAGAACAUGGCACUAGCCGGCAAUGGUAUGAAGAAGUUAAUCCUCGCUGUUCUCUUACUGUGUCUAGUUAUAGGGCAGAUACAAGUGGAAGCUAAGAGCUGCUGCCCAUCCACCACUGCAAGAAAUGUCUACAAUACCUGCCGUUUCACGGGUACAUCCCGUCCAACGUGUGCAAAACUGUCAGGCUGCAAAAUUAUCAGCGGGAACAAAUGCAAGCCCCCUAACGACCACCUCACCCUUGACCCGGACACUGGUAAAUAAUAAAUUUAUCUCACUUGAUUUCUUCGUGAUUUGAGUCGUUAAUGUAUUUUCCAUCUGAUGAAACGUAUUGGUUUUGCAUUGAAGAGGAAGUUAAUGUGCUUAACUUCUGCAAGUUGGGGUGUGCGUCGUCUGUGUGCAACAACAUCAACGCUGGUAAGCAACUUUUGCUCAGACAGAGAAAACAAUAAUCAUUAAUUAGCGGCAGCUAGAAUCCUAUAAUCUAAUAUAUAUAUAUAUAUAUAAUUUUAUCAGCUCUGGGAAAUGAAGAGGCGAACGAUGCCGUUGAGAGUUGCGACCAAGCCUGCUCUAGCUUCUGCAGCGUGCAUGUUGGCAGCGCCACCGUGGUUGCUUAAGCAAAUGCAUCCAACUAGAUCGUCCUUGUGCUGAAUAAUUGGAUAUCGUAUCCACUUAAAGCUGCCUUGUGUAGUACGUCUUUGUGUCUCUCUUUAUAUUCCAAUAAGGUCGGUGAUCUUGAUGCCACACACUCAGAUGUGUGUUCAUCUCCAGAUACUACUCCAUGCUACCUGCCCUUUGUGUUUUGUUCAAUAACUGGGUAUCAUAUCCCAGCCAGUAUGCCGUCUGUUUUGUGUUUGUUUCCUUCUAGUUCCAAAGGGGUCAUCAUGAUGUUACCUUCUUUCAAUAUGGUGCUUUGCAUGACUACUGUUGUAUGGUACCAUCUUGUGGCCAAUAAGUACAUCUUAUCCUAUGACCUUUGCUAUGACCCUUUGCAAAUAAGUAGAAGAUUGUUAUAAGCGUCAAUACUCCGUAUAAAUUGAUCGCUGCUGUGAGUUCCCUUUCAGCUUAUCGUAGGCAUACAUUAUUGCUAGCACGGUAAAGCCAACCAACACGAAUGAUGAAGUAAACGUAGCGGUACUUCUGUAUACCAACACCCUUACUUAAAUGUACCGGUGUCAUUCCCUACUGGCACAUAUAUUCUUAUAUGCUAGCCAGCUUGUAAAAUUAACCAAUUAAAAUAAUUAUUUCAAGAUAGAAAUAACUUAUCGGUUUCUGGAAGCAUGUGUAAUGUGAAUUCAAGGACUCGACGGAAGUUGAAUCACUUCAUCUAUAUUGCUUUCAGUAUUUUGGGUAACUAAAUUUAACAUUUGCACAUACAAAUGUUAAAGUACAAAUGUUAAAUCUAGUUACCCAAGCAGAAUAUGAAGAUAGUUUAUAGUAUAUAUAUACUAUAUAAAUCUAGUUAACAUUUAGUCUAAAUGUUAAAUCUAGUUACCUAAAAUCCUGAAAGCAAAAUGUAUAAAUAUAUAUCUUUUAAGGCAGUAUAAGCUUCGAUUCCUAUUGCUGCUCUGUUAAAUCUCAUCUUUCGUUGUGGCCCAACACUCUAGUAUGCAUGUUGCACCAAGCUUCUUUGAGCCGCUCUGCCCUCUGAUUUUGCUGCGUAGGGGAAUCUUUAUCAGGUUGGGCUACUUCCAGUUGUGCGAUGUAAAGAUUCGUAUUUUCUAGAAGGUAGACAAAAAACUCGCGUUCUCUUAAGGCAACAACCGGAAGAUUCUGCAGCGCACAGGGCAUACCAUUAUUGUAGAAACGACCUUUAGUACCGAUCUCCAACCCCCUUUAAAACUGGUUUUGCAACCGGUACCGUUAUGUCGGUCCUUUAGUACCAGAUCAAAUAAGUACCGGUUGGUAACCAGUAUCAACUUGUUUUGCGGCCAAAAAAAUAAAGAAAAAAACAGUCAGAAGGCUCGCGCACACGCGCAUCACAUGAAAUAUGCGUGUGCGGGGUCCAUGGGAUUCGAACCCAUGAAAUCAAGCUGCGCGCGACCCUUCGUUACCAUCUCACCUACAUAGCGCAUAUGCUUUCCUGAAGUAACCCGUGGAGGAGGCUUUAGUACCGGGUCAUAACACCACCCGGUACUAAAAAUGACUCUUCAGUACCGGGUCAUAACACCACCCGAUACUAGUAUCGGAUGGUGUAAUGACCCGAUACUAAAAGGCCUCUAGGGACCCUCAAAUUUGAACCCGGUACUAAUGCUAAUAUUAGUAGCGGGUCAAAGUGCAGCCAGAACUAAAGCAUGGGAUGAAAGGUCAUAUUUCUAGUAGUGUAUAGUUGUUGUGAAGGACUGACUUGGCUGUCCUCUCUCUUCUCCAUCCCCUUGGUCUUACGCCGCCGCUCGCACGCGAGCCGGUGCCCAACCAGAGGAGUGAGAGCUAGGGGCAGGUUGGGAGGUGGGGAUAGUGACUGGUGGCCAGGGUGAUGGUUGAUCCUGGUGGGGUUAGGGUUUUAGGGUUUUCGAGCUUCCUAUGGUCGGCGAACCUAGAGGAGGAGCUCAACAUCAGCUGCAACCCGCGAUGGUGGUGGUUUGGCCGGCGCCCGAGGCGAGGCAGCGCGGGAGUGCUGCCGGUGGGUUGGUGUUGGCACUCAUUAUUGACAACUAUUUUGUUCAUAAAAUAACACUCAAACUUGCUGCUGCUGCUGCUGCUGCCAUCGCCACCCUAGCCAUAAUAUAAAGGCAAAAUUUGCUAAAGGACAUGCAAAAUGAUGCUAGUUUGCUGGCGGGCAUCGUUGACCUUGUAAUAUGCUACAAGACACUCUAGUUGUGUAUCAAUUUGCUGAAAGACAUUGCUAUGACUAAAAUAAUGUUUCUGGACUGAGUUGGAGAGAGAGAUGGAGUGAAAUGUCUGUUUUGCCCAUGACCCCACUGGUCAGAUCCUUCUUCUUCCACCCUCCUUUGUUCUUUCUUCAACCAUUACCCAGCUCCAGCGUGUUGCAGAUCUACGAGGGUGGCGGCCUGGGGCGAGGGGCAUCGCUCGCCCUUGGAGGAGCGCUGCGAGCGACGGCGCGGGGGCGGCAACAGCGCGUCAGAACCUGACUGUUCGUUAGCUCCUCUCGCUGCUGGGGAAGGAGGGGGAUGGGCCAUGGACGGGGUUCCCUUGAAAACCUCAGCGUCGAGCUCGGGCGGCUACGCGCAGGCAGCACUAGGCUGCUUCACGGGGAGGGGGCGCGGCCAAUCAUUGGCACCCCACUGGUCCAAUGCUGAUGAAGAUGGUGCCAGCGUCGUGUGAGGACAUCUCAUCUCCUCGAGUUCCAUGGCCAGCACAGGUGAGCUGCCGCUACCACAAAACAGAGGUUUCGUGAGAGUCAAAAAACCUUAUGAAAAUAGCUAAAACCAUCAUGAAAAUAAUCCGUGACAUGACACUCUCACGAAAAUCCUCUCACAAAUAUGGUGCCAUGAAAAUACCAUUUUCAUGAGAGUGAACUGUCAUGAUUUUAUUUCGUGAGAGUAUUUCCUAUCAAUGACCUCCACGAAAUACUUUGUGCCACCAGGUCUUCAAGAUCAUUUUCAUGAGAGCUGAACAUCAGGAAAAGUCCGCCACAAAUGUUUUUCUUGGAGCCCCUAACUCUCAUGAAAAUCAUGCGGGCCGCCACGAAAAACAGCAUGACCAAAUGACAAAUUUCAUUUUCAUGUGUUCAUACCGCCAUGAAAAUGGUCAUUUUCAUGAGAGUUGAUGAAACAAAAAAUAGUGCCAUUUUCAUGAGAGUUCAAGCAACCAGGAAAAGACACUAAUAAACAUCCAGAUCCCAUCCAGCACACAUCCAUGCACAUAUAUAACCCACAUAUUGCUCCAGCACACAUCCAUGCAUAUACAAGAUCCAAAUGUUAAUAUAGUAGACAUCCAUGCCUGAACUAGUCUGCCACACAAGUCAUUGAUGCUACAAAUCCUACAAUCGCAGCAUGUGCAUACAAGUCACAGAAUGAGACAAUGUACCCAAAACUAAAAGGUUAGCAUCAACUGUGCUUCAACCAAAGUUGUCAUCCCAACUCUCCUCUUCAUCCAUGCCAUUCUUGUCGUGGCCGUCACUGUCAGUCCCCAUGGCAUUGCCAAUGCUGUGCAUGUCUUGGUAGGAACCUACAUGUGAUGAACUAGUAACCUGCAAAAAGAGCUCAAAGGAUCUUGUUCUCAUAUUGUAGCUGUGAAAUUCUUACAAGUAGUGUUGCAAUCAGUUCACUUUGAACCAAAAGAGCUCAAAGGAUCUUGUCCUAAAAGUUCCUCAUAAAGCUUAUGGGUUUGCUGGUGGAACUGGAAGGGCUUGAUGCAGCAGAUGCCAUUCUGCAAUAGAGAAAAAUUUAGAGAGCAGUACUAGUUAAAAUUGGAUGCAGAAGAUACACAUGAAACUAGUAUUUAUACAAGUCUAUACAAUUAAAAUCUAAGGAGACUUAUCAUCGUUUUCAUGUGUUGUGAAUUAAAAUAAUGAAGGAUACACUGUUAGGUGAAAAUUCAAGAAACAAAAUUUUGCAUAGAGAUAAAGGUCCAACAUUAUUACAAGUUAAGGUAGUUUUAAAUAUCCUUGUAAUCUUCCUUUGGUUUCCUCAACGAUUCGAAGACAAUAACCUUGCUUCUAUCAAUGAUAAUUAUAAGGAGAAUCCAGUGGAAACUGUGUAUUCGUAUUAGAACUACCUAAGGUUAAUUAGGUUAGGAAAGGAAAUUGAAAAUAGAUGGUACCCACACUUACUUAAAGUUGUCGGGCAAUAGUAUGUAAUGCUUGUAAUUCCGUUGCUCCAAGAAUUUGUAUAUGUGGUCCAAUGUAGACUUUGGUUGAUCCCGUAUCUGCUGUUGGUUAAAUAAGUGUUUCUAGCCAUUUCUAGCCAUUAGAACCGGGACUAAAGGGGGCUCUUUAGUACGGGUUGAUAUUACUAACCGGGAUUAAAGAGCCCCCAUUAGAGUUGGUUUUUGGAUGCGGAACUAACAACUCCUUUAGUCCUGAGUACGAAAACAACUGACAUAUUUGUUGCUGGAUGGAAGGUCCUUUCUCUACCGUGAAUAUUGCCAGAAAGAAUUGAAAGAGACUGCUUGCUAAAAAUAUGUCAUAGAUGUAGACCAAGCUACCAAGGAGGUAGACCAAACAUGAUACACACCAUGCGUACCUUGCUGUGCAGACUAUGCAUUGACAAGAUACCCGACCACAUGUUGGCCUCGGUCACAUCAAAAGAAUCAUGUAGGCCACCAAUAAACUACUUGAAGCGGCAUUCCGUAUCGUAUAUGCAUUGCCGGUUCAUCUGCAUUACAUUACAUAAAGCACUAUUAACUAUUUGAAUAAAAUGAACCAAUUUAAAAGUAAUGUGUUGUACUCUACUAUAGAAAGCCCUAUCACUGCCGGAUCCAAAAACAUCAUUGUUAAUGGUGGUUAAGUACCAAAUAUGACGGUCAAUAUUCUCAAGAAUAAUGGAGAAUUAGCAUUUCUUAGACACAUAUUUGGUUUUGAACAAUGUAGUUCCACAUGUCUUUGGAGAUUAUUUGGGUGUGGGUGAAAUAAUACAAAAAUAAGGAGAAAACACACUCCCAUGGCGAAGAAACACAACUCCAACCAAUGAGAGAUAGCCACAGGGGCAGCACACGGAUCCAUGGGCCCACUAACCGCAUCAAACCAUCUUACCAAGGCAGGUAGCACCCACAACCGUCAUUAGGACCCACCUGGAAGUCUACCAAGAAGAAGGUUGCGAGUGGGGCCAGGAGGGGUUCGGUUGAAUCAUCUCUAGCUAGCUCCCCUCAUCCCCAGCUGGUGGGUGGUGGUGGUUGAUGGUGUCCCUACAUCAGUUAGAGGAGAUUCCCCCAAAUAUUCCUCCUGUAAACCACCUCUAUGGACCUAUACAUAGAGGGGUGUGCUCUCCAUUCCAACACACACCACAAGUUGAAUCACUCUCUCCCUCUUUAGUUUCCAAGUUUAUGGAGUUAGGCUAGAGUAGCUCUGCUCAAGGUUCCAAGUCCACUUGGAGUUAAGCAUAUGUCUCUUGUAUCGUUAUUUCCUAAAUUGACUUUAUGCUUAGUUCUUAUAUGCAUGAGUUAGUCUAAUACCCUUGCUAUAUUGAUAUGCUCGGCUUAUAUGCUCGUAUGCUAGUCAUAUACCCUUGCUGUCGUAGUAUAGGCUUAUAUGCUCUCAUGUGUGCCUGUAGACCUUGCUAUAGUAUAUACUUGUUGUGCAUACAUACCAUGUAUAGGCUAGUCGAUCUAUACCAUGGCAUUGGUUCAAUAGCCAUGUUUUUGGUGGCUCCAACCCUAGUCACAAUAGCUCGGGACAGCUGGAGUGUUGUUAAAAAUGCAAGAGUGGUGCUUGGGUUGUUUAGCAUCGUUGGAUAUGGGUUUGCCCCACGGGUUUCUAACGGUAGGCGGCAGCUAGUGACAUCCCUGUCCGUCCUUCGUAAUCCCCCCACAUUCAGGUACGCCAUAAAUGUUCGUAAAUUAGCAGUAACUACGCCGGUACACCUGUAGGGUAUUGUCUCCCUGUAGUACCUUGGUGCAUAGAACUAAGUCCUAUACACUGUGUGUGUAUGUUUACGCUGAUAUGAUCUGUGCAGUAUAUAGGAUGUAUAUAUGAACCUAGAGCUAACUCCUAGUCCGUUCUCCAUAGCUUAGUUAUCUUGAGAUGAUUCUUCUGUAUGUGUAACACUACCCAUCUUAUCAUUAUCCUUGAUCCUGUCUUGUGUAAUAUAUCUACUCAUCCUAUGAUAUACUCAUAUGCAUAGUAAACUAUUUUGACCUACCCGCCUUCCUUUGGGAAAUAUGAUACCUUGGAAUAAUCCUAGGUGAAAUCCUACAACGGUAUAUCCAUGUAAAUGCGGAUUUAUUCAUGACCAUUAAAUAUACCAACAAUCAUCACUGUGAGUUUUGGGCGUCGUUAGUGAAGGGUUGGUAGUGAUGGGCAUCCCCUUCACCAAUGGACCUGGAACCGGCGGUGAUGGCUAUUAUAAAAAAGGGGACACCACCCAGCGUACCCCACGACCCGGCCGGCCGCACCUCCCAUCAUCCCCGCCAGCCGCCCUUCCUUUUCGCCGGCCGAGCAUGGUCCCGGCCUUUGUCCCUACCACCUCGCCUCCACCGCGACCCCCCGCCGAUGCCCUCGUGCCUGGCCCCCCUCAUCUUGCCGGCCACCCUCCCGAUGCGUCCACUGGGGCCCUCGCACCACCAACCGCCCUUGCUUAGAGAGGGAGAGAGAGGAGGGAGGUGAGGCCACGCACCUCGUCCUACACCGCCGCUGUUUCUCCUCGGCCCACCGCGCCUCACCCCACACCACAGCCGCGCCUUGCCAUCUUACCGGCUGUGACGCCUCAUCUCACCGGCCACCGUUCCUCACCCCCACUUCGGUCGUCGCCGCUCCUUGCCCUACCGCUGCUCUUUGCCGCUGCGAAUGAGCGCCGAGUGGAGGAGGAGGGAUGGGGCAGGAGGAGGGCAAGAUCCGGGAGGAAGGGAGAGAUCUCGGGAGGUGGAGAUGGAAGGAUAUGGCGGAAGGGAGAGAUCCAGAGGGAGAGAGCAGGGGAGAGAGGGGGGCGUGUGGGGAGAGAGCGCGUGUGGGGUGGGGCCGGGCUGGUGGGAUGGAAGGGAGAGGGGCUAGACGGGCGCAGUGCAUUCAACUGGAUGAAGUAAAUAUUUUGGAUUCGAGACCCCAGCUUUAUUAUCACCGCUGGUCCGUAGUACCAUCCGGUGCCUGCUCGUAAUUUAAUUUGAAUCUGCGGUGAUGUUUUAUUAUCACCAUCGGAUCAUAUAAAAAUCCGGCGGUUAAAAAUCCGCUGGUUUCGAUGAAAACCGACGGUGAUAGGAUGACUGUGAUAGUCUCUUCUCUAGUAGUGGUAUAUUAGUACCGGCUGCCGGAUGGUGUUGCCGACCAGUACUUCUCCGGGGGCGAUUCAGUACUGCUGUUAGCAAAGCUUGUUCUCUAUGAAUUUGGGGAUGGAAAGCUAGUUCUCUAGUUGUGAUUUGUUACAUAUAUAUCUAUGAUAGUCUAGAAAUUGCAUGUCCUUCGUUGACAUAGUUGAAGCUGCUUCAAGAAUUUACUUCGUGCAGUCGUGCAGCAUAUUGGAUUAUCACCUAGACAGGAUACAUAGGUGAAGCAUUGGAUGUGAUUGUGGCCGAUAAUUAUGCAGGACGCUGUUGCAAUCAACCACCAAGAAGUCUGGAGUGAUGGGGUUGCCUCAUCAAUAAUUUUUAUAUAUGGCUGCAGUAUUAUUAAGCCCACGUCAAUAAUUUUUUGUCCGCACCAUAUAUCGAUGGGGUUGCCUCAUCAAUAAUUCGCGCAACCAGACAAGCUGCAGACUCAAUAUGGUACGAAGCUAGUUGCUCAGCCCACAUGCUCUGAUAUAACAUUGACAUCUGCUGAUCUACAGUAUAUAUGACCAGAAAUAUUGUGCCCACCUCAAUAACUUUCUGAAGUAUCGUGGGGAAGAACCUACGCGUACUAUGCCUCGGAACUAACUGACAUAUCGGCCCAGGCGGUCUAGGCCGAUUGGACUGGCUCUUCCUUGUGGCUUCUCACAUCCCCUUCGUCCCCAAGUAAUUUCAGGUGUUCUGUAGUUUUCUUUUCACUUGCAUCUGAGCCUCCUAUAUCAAUAGCUUCGGGAUAAGAAUGCCUCUUGAUAACCUUCCAAAUCCUCGCUUGAUUCACAUUGAUUCCGAAAUCAUCUUGCCAUAUCUUCAGAGACUUAGGUCCUAAGGCAUCAUGGAGGAUUGCUCGCCAAGAAUGAGCACCAUUGGGCUCCUGAGGACCCUAGGCCGAUCAGCCCGGGCUCUAUAGGUCGAUUGGCCCAGGCCCUCUCUGGGCCUGUUGGCCUUCAUCUUUCUUUGAGUCGACGCUUAUUCAGGGCUUUGUCCAAUUAUAGUCCAUUAUAGUCUAAUUUCCUAAAAAACAGAAUGUCCUCCAAAAUACAAUGCAUAUGUGAAAACAACCCAAUUAUUAGGUAUGAUCAAUAGUUUAGGUAUUAAAUUAAUAUUAUUAUUUAAGAUAAACAGGGGUAAAGGGUGUCAUUAAUAACAAGCGCCAACAAGCGUCCUAGCUGUUCAAUAAAUUUUUUCUAGUACCGAUUGGUAACACUAACCGGUGCUAAUAUGUACCCUUUAUUACCGGUUAUUUUACCAGGUACUAAAGGAGACAAGAGCAUCCUAACAUAAGGUUAAUAUCAUCCAUUUCAUGAGUAAAAUACUAUGAUUCAAAAAUAAUUCAAAUCCCUUAAGACAAUACCUAUCAAAUGAGUAAAUUGUAAAUAGAGUAAUCUUGAUCAAACAAUGUCCUAAUGAAACGGAACACUUCUGGUUCGUGUAGAGCACAAUAUAGAAAACAGUAGGGUAGCUGUAUGAUUGACACGUGGUCCAUUAAUUAUUGAGCCAACACUAUGGACAUGUCUUCAUGAGUAGUGUACUAGUCAUAAUACAUGGUAUGCAGUAGGUGGAGGUAUUGACUUAGCCAUGCUAUGAGCACUUAGUUACAACAAACACUUUGCCAUUAUCGAGCAUCCCAAAUCACUACAAAAUCCAUAGUUUACCAUAUACUACAAAAUCUGAGUUAAAAUAAGAGCAUACACGGAAGAGUCCGAAUGCACGGCACAUUGAAUUACUAGACAAAAUUUAUGGGACAAGGUUUUGGGUAACCGCAUGAAAAAUAUUGGAUUUUACUGAACACUUAGUUACAAUUACCAUGCCCGUGAGCACUUAGUCACCACAAACAUUUAACCACUUUAGAUCAUCCUGAAUCCCUAUAAAUUCUAUACCUUACACCGUACCAUGAAAACGACAAGAACAGAGACAGAUGCGGUGAAAAUCUCCAGAGCAAGCCUGAAAUUAAAAUAAGAGGAGGCAGUCACUAUCGACAGGACACGGAGAUUGCUAGCCAUGACAGAGGAAGACAUGAUAUGAUAUUCACCUCUGAAAUGCAGCGUAGACUAAAUGAAGCACAAUUGCAAGUGAGUGUGGCAGAUAAUGGACCAUCGAGACCAUCGAAUGGUAUGAAGCAUGAUUAUCACCUAGACAUGAUAUCCUAGACAGGACGGUGAAUUGUAAAAAGAGUAAUCUUGAUCAAAGAAUGUCCUAAUGAAACGGAACAUUUUUGGUACGUGUAGAGCAAAAUAUAGAAAACAGUAGAGUAGUUGUACGAUUGAAACUGCAUCCAUCGACGUGGUGCAUGAAUUGUUGAGCCAACACUGUGGACAUGUCUUCAUGAACACCAUCUAGUGAGGACAGCAUGCAGAAAAAUAUAAAAACAUGUCAUAGGGAGGCAGACCAAUCUUGCGAGGUAGACGAAACGUGAUACACGAUCUGCCUACCUUGUCGUGUGGAUACCCCAAGUGAAGAUGUCAUAGAGGUGCAGACCAAGCUAGCAAGGAGGUAGAUGAAACGUGAUACACGGCCUGCCUACCUUGCCGUGGAUAUUAGUCCUGAUAUCAUUCUAUUGUUCAAGGAAUAACACUCAAUGCUGCUGCUGCUGCUGACCUGGCUCCAUAAAGUUAUAUUCCUCUAGCCGCUUGCACUAACUUUAUCUGAAGUAUUAUUCUCUCUGCACUGUAUAUAUGGUUACGGAGUUUGCUGGAGUAUCCGGGGGGAAGAACCUACAUAAUAUGUCUUGGAACUAACUGACAUUGAUUCACAGACAAGGUGCUGUUGUUGACAUGGUACAGUAAAUAAUAUAGUUUACCAUAUACCGUAUACCAUUAUAUGUUAGCUAAAAUAAGAGCAUAACAUGUCGCAGGAGUCCAAAAGCACCGGUUGAGGACCAGGUACAUUAAAUUACUAGAAAACAAAAGGGGACAAGGUUUAGGUAGCCACAUGAAAAACAUUUGAAUUUACUGUACCAUGAACACUUAGUUACCAUGCCGGGAGCACCUAGUUAACACUAACAUUUAGCCACUUUAGAUCAUCCCGAAACACCAAUGACCCUCAAUAGCGACAAAUUUUGGUUUAAAUGCCGUCACCAAUGAUCCUCAAUAGUGACGUGUUUAGGUUUAAAUCCCAUCACUAAUAACCCUUGGUAGUGACGUGUUUUGGUUUAAAUCUCAUCACCACUGAUCCUCACUAGUGACGUGUUUUUAGCAACACACGUUAUGAAUGACUUGUCAUUGGUGACAUGUUAAACGCGUUAUCUCAAUGGCAAAUCAAUGGUGACGUGUUUAAAAAAACAUGUCACUGUGAGAGUUAUUGGUGAAGGGUAAUUAAAAUGCAUCACUAAUUUUGUAGCAUUAGUUAUGAUAUAAUUUUGUAACGCAAAAAUCUACCAUAGUAAUGAGGUUUAGAGCCAUCACUAAUGUGGGUUUCUUAUCGUAGUGAUGCAAGCUCUACAAGGUGCUGUUGUUGCCAUUUUAAAGCAUCCCAAAUGACUACAAGAGUCCGGUUGAGGACUAAACAAAUUGAAUUACUAGAACCAAAUGUAUGUCCAGAACAAAGAAAGGGGUCAAGGUUUGGGUAACCGCAUUAAAAACAUUGAAUUUUACUGUACCAUGAACACUUAGUUACCAUUACCAUGCCUUGAGCACCUAGUUACCACAAACAUUAAUUUAGCCACUUUAGAGGUUCCACAAUCACUAUAAAUAAUAUACCAACACCGUACCAUGAAAACAUCAAGAAGAGAGACGGGUACAUGGACCACCAUCAAGUGAGUAGUGACAGCACGCACAAGAAUACCCGGAACCUUUUAGCUUGUCUGUAGUGAUCUGUUUUCUUCGCCACAAAUAAUGAAAGAGGCUGACCAAGCUAGCAACGAGGUAGAGCAAACGUGAUACACGUAGGUUUCAUUCAAGACAUCCAUGUAAGAUUCAUUCAAAACAUUCAUGGAAAUUUCUUGUAAGUUUUCAUGUAAAUUUCAUUCAAGACAUUUGUUAGAGGUGUUGUAUAUACACUUAACGUACAUAUAUCUAUGAUUUCAUGGUUGUUAGUGAUGGCAGAUGAGGAGCAUGCAAGGUGUUUAAUGGAGCAGAUUAUUGCUAGUGGUAGUGGCUCCAACCUGCCCGUAACGUACACCGACGAAGAGGGCAGCCAGGCGGACAUGUUCCUCAACAUGUCCGGUGAUGGCAAUGAAGAGCCCGAGCAAAACCUUGCCGUGACGGAAGGUUCCAUCGAGGUAUAUAUCAUUUCCAUUAUUUUACCCCAUCUAUAAUUUCAUAUUCAUUAUUACUAUGUGCUAAUUAAUGAAUCUUGAACCGUUAGUCCUCUAGAUCAACGAACCGAAAUAAGCCCCGAGGUCUUACAAAGAUAAUGCAGGGAAGGCUUCACAUCAUGGAAGUCACAGAAGAGGGCACAUCGGUUGCUCCCGAACAUGUGGCAAGAAAGUACGUGAGUCAAACCGGGGCAAUCGUAAGGGACAACAUGCCCAUCAGCAUCAGGGAAUGAAAGAGCAAUAGAAAUGAUCUAUACGCACCCCCGGAUACACAAAAGGAUAUGUUGUGGGCAAAUAUCAAGAAACACUUCACAUUUCCCAAAGGAUAUGUUGAAAAAUAUGUGAAAGCGUGGAUGUUGAAGAAGAUGGCCACCCAAUUCCAGACAUUCAAGAAGAUGUUGGAUGCCAACUUCAUCAAGAAGGGUCGAACUCCGGGUUUCAAUGAGUGGCCAAAGUUAAGGGACCACUGGGAGUCGUUUGUCGAAUACAAGACGAGCGAAGGUGGUGCGAGUAAGGUUCACAUCAAUGUUGCCAAUGCUAGCAAGGAGUACCAUCAUCAUCUAGGGCGACGUGGUUACAGCUCUGCAAUUCCCAGAUGGCGCAAGAUGGAACAAGACCUGAUCGAUCGGGGUAUCGUACCAGCAACUCUUGACUGGAUCGAUUGAAAAAUUGGUAUUAUGCUCAUGAAGGCAAUCUGAGCCAAGAGGAUCCGACAUUGGUCUUCAAUAAAACAAUACGUCAGAAGGUCGGAAGGCUUAUUAGGAACAUUGAAGAUGCUAAAGCUGGGAGGUUCAAGGUGGAUAGAGAGAAUGAUGAACUCACAUUGGCCCUCGGGACUGUCAUCUCUAGCACUUCCAGCUCCAGGACUAUCGUCACCACCGGGACCGUCGCUUCCUGCUCGAUCACAGUCUCCAUCUCCAGCACAUCCUGGUGGUGCGAGCGACGACGACAACAACACCCCUCCCUGCCCACCAUUGCCGGGACUAAGACCCGCAUUGAGUAAGGAACCUGCAACACCACUGAAGAAGUCGCGACCACCACCUUCAAGGCAAGUCAGCAAAAGAAGAAAGCAGAGAAGCCUAAACCCACUGAGAAGCCAGCGACUGAUAUGACCGAUGCGGAAAGAUGGAAGGCACUCAAAGAAGAAUGCAGGGAGUGGUUCAGCGAAGGCGAAGGUGAGAAAGUCGUAUGAAUCGAAUUCAAGGAUAUAUAUGAAGUGAACCAUCAGGAUGCCCUUGAUGUCUCUCUCAUCAGCGCCUAGGUUCUGUAAGUGUAUGUUUAUCUAUAAGUAAAUUUUGGCUCAUAUCAUUAUUUUUUUUGCGUGCGUCACCCUACUAACUUCGUCUUCCAUUUUAUGUAGGAUGCUAAUUCAGACGUGCCGCAUAGAAGCGUACUUCCAUGUUGGAUUCAUGGAUCCAUCCCUAGUUAACCAAAAGCCGAUACGGAAGUAGCUAGAGAAAACGUUGGAGGUGGUGUACAACCUCCUGGACAAACUAAACUACAGAAUAGGGGCAAUAUGUGAGGGUCUUGUAGGAUUCCUAGUGGACGAGGUGAUAAAUCCAUAAGGAGAAUAUCAUUCCAACGGACGAGCAUUAGACACACUGAGCAACACCUAGAUGGGAGGAUCCUAGGAAUGACCUCGACAGAUUUUGGUAUAAAUAGUAAUUGUGUAAAUACUAGUUUGAUUUGUAUAGGAAUAUACUAAGAAUUGUAUAUAUAGUAAUUGUACAAAUACUAGUUUGAUUUGUAUGAAUACUAGAUUGAUUUUAUUAUAAAAAAGUUUUAAGUCGUACGUGCAUGCGCCUACAAAGGCGCGGAUGCCUUUUAAUCCCAGUCGGAAAAACAAACUGGUACUAAAGGGGCUCGUGCCGCACCUGGCAUGACCACCCCUUUAGUCCCGGUUGAACGACCCAGGACUAAAGAUCUCCGCGUCUCAAAAAUUUUAUCUCGGAUGCUUUUUAGAGAGAUUUGAGGCCUAUCAACCAAGACUAAUAUCGAGUUUUCUACCAGUGAAACUAACUAACGUUCACAUGGUUUUGACAUUCACCUGCCAUUUGGUGUAGACAAGGGCACCCUAACAUAUGGUUAAUAUUAUUCUUGAAAGAAAAUCCUUUGAUUCAAAAUACUUCAAACCUAAUAAUACAAUACUUCUCACAUCUGAAAAAUAUGAGACGGCCCGACAGUAUUCUAAUCGACGCAAUAAUAUUUUGAGGGCAGCACUACUACAGCGACCCUCAUUCGUGCCGGUGCUGGGACUCCUAUCACGACCCUGAUACAAAUGAGGGUACAUUAUUGGUGCCAGUGCUAGAACAGCCACGAAUAACUUGCUAAACGUGCUGUUACACUCACUACAGGGACCAAGAAGGUAGAUAAAUUACACGACAUAGCCUUGGUUGCCGUGGAAGCGCCAAGAAGGGAGACAAAUUACAGGGACCACACCAUCAAGUAGAUAGUGACAAUAUGCAAAAGAAUACCCGCGCCUGUUAGCAUGUGAACUGACCACACCACGAAACGUGAUACACGGCAAGCGUACCAAGGCCUUGCUGUGCAGACUAUGCAUGGACAACACAUGGUACCUGACCGCUUUUGGCCUCAGACACAUCGAAAAACUGCAUCGUUCCACGUUGUACAUCCAUUGCUAGUUUAUCUAUAUUACAUAAUAUAUUAUUAGCUAUUUGAAUAGAAUGAACCAAUUAAAAAAUUGCGUUGUAUUUUUAGUACCGGCUGCAGGAUGGUGUUACCAACCAGUACUAAUUGGCCUGUAGGAGUGAUGGUUAUUAGACUUGGUACUGUUGUUAGCAUCAUUAACCUAAUUGUGCGCCGUAUGAAUUUGGGGAUGCAAAGCUAGCUCUCUAUGAAUGUGAGGGAUGGAAAGCUAGUUCUCUAGUAGUAAUUAUAUAUAUGACAGUCAAGAAAUCGAACACUAUGCUGCUACGAGUCACCAUCAUUUCCUUCAUUGACAAUCUGACAUAGGUGAAGCUGCUUCAAUAAUUUCCUUCGCGCAGUCGUGGAGCUUAUUGGAUUAUCACCAGGACGGGACACGGAAAUGGCCAGCAAUGAAGCUGAUUGCCGUCUGAGGAAGACUACAUACUUACCUAUGAAAUGAAGCGAUUGCAUAGACUAAUGAAGCAUUGCAUAUUUGCAUGUGAGUGUGGCAGAUAAUUCUGCAGGACAUGAUUGCAAUCCACGCACCAUCGAGAAGACUGGGGCGAUGGGGUUGCCUCAUCAAUAAUCACGUGGAUGCAUGCAUGCAUGUUCCCGCAACCGGACAAGGGUCUGAUAUAUGGCUAUAGUAUUACUGAGCCCACAUCAAUAAUUUCCACUGGUGUAUCGUGUGGGAAGAAUCAACAUACUACACCUCGAGUUCUUGGAACUAACUGACGUUCACAUGCAACCUCCACAAGGUGCUGUAUGCUUUUGACAUUCACCUGCCAGUUCGUGUAGAGAAGGACACCCUAACGUAUAGUUAAUAUUAUCCAUUUCAUGAGUAAAAUACUGUGAUUCAAAAAUACUUCAAAUCCCUUGAGACAAUACUUCUCACUUGACUAACCACUAACCAACCCCGAAACCCUAACUCAACUCCGAACCCUAACCCCUAACGGCAUAACCACUCCGUUUUGCCGGCGAGAUGGAGGAACUGGCUGGAAGGUAGAGAGGGCAGCGGUCCAGGGUUGAAAACGACGGGCGAGCGCAGUAACAUGUGGAGGAGGAAGUGCCACGUAUUCGUUCACCGCUAUUGGGCAGCGACACACGACACGCCCAAUAAGAUCUUCGCACGGUAGAAGGACGUCAUGUAUUCAAUAAUGUUAUUGGUCCCCCAUGUGCAGAAGGGCGCGCGCGUAUGGAAUAACAAGUAGGGACACUGCAACUAAUCUACUCUGCUCGUCCAGUCCCUAGCCUAUAAAUAGAUGCCAUGCUAGCUCUUGUUGUGCUCACAAUUAAUCCGAUUACACACGAGCUUCUCUCCCUGGCCAAGACACAACCAUAGUAUGAUGAAGAACAUGGCACUAGCCGGCAAUGGUAUGAAGAAGUUAAUCCUCGCUGUUCUCUUACUGUGUCUAGUUAUAGGGCAGAUACAAGUGGAAGCUAAGAGCUGCUGCCCAUCCACCACUGCAAGAAAUGUCUACAAUACCUGCCGUUUCACGGGUACAUCCCGUCCAACGUGUGCAAAACUGUCAGGCUGCAAAAUUAUCAGCGGGAACAAAUGCAAGCCCCCUAACGACCACCUCACCCUUGACCCGGACACUGGUAAAUAAUAAAUUUAUCUCACUUGAUUUCUUCGUGAUUUGAGUCGUUAAUGUAUUUUCCAUCUGAUGAAACGUAUUGGUUUUGCAUUGAAGAGGAAGUUAAUGUGCUUAACUUCUGCAAGUUGGGGUGUGCGUCGUCUGUGUGCAACAACAUCAACGCUGGUAAGCAACUUUUGCUCAGACAGAGAAAACAAUAAUCAUUAAUUAGCGGCAGCUAGAAUCCUAUAAUCUAAUAUAUAUAUAUAUAUAUAAUUUUAUCAGCUCUGGGAAAUGAAGAGGCGAACGAUGCCGUUGAGAGUUGCGACCAAGCCUGCUCUAGCUUCUGCAGCGUGCAUGUUGGCAGCGCCACCGUGGUUGCUUAAGCAAAUGCAUCCAACUAGAUCGUCCUUGUGCUGAAUAAUUGGAUAUCGUAUCCACUUAAAGCUGCCUUGUGUAGUACGUCUUUGUGUCUCUCUUUAUAUUCCAAUAAGGUCGGUGAUCUUGAUGCCACACACUCAGAUGUGUGUUCAUCUCCAGAUACUACUCCAUGCUACCUGCCCUUUGUGUUUUGUUCAAUAACUGGGUAUCAUAUCCCAGCCAGUAUGCCGUCUGUUUUGUGUUUGUUUCCUUCUAGUUCCAAAGGGGUCAUCAUGAUGUUACCUUCUUUCAAUAUGGUGCUUUGCAUGACUACUGUUGUAUGGUACCAUCUUGUGGCCAAUAAGUACAUCUUAUCCUAUGACCUUUGCUAUGACCCUUUGCAAAUAAGUAGAAGAUUGUUAUAAGCGUCAAUACUCCGUAUAAAUUGAUCGCUGCUGUGAGUUCCCUUUCAGCUUAUCGUAGGCAUACAUUAUUGCUAGCACGGUAAAGCCAACCAACACGAAUGAUGAAGUAAACGUAGCGGUACUUCUGUAUACCAACACCCUUACUUAAAUGUACCGGUGUCAUUCCCUACUGGCACAUAUAUUCUUAUAUGCUAGCCAGCUUGUAAAAUUAACCAAUUAAAAUAAUUAUUUCAAGAUAGAAAUAACUUAUCGGUUUCUGGAAGCAUGUGUAAUGUGAAUUCAAGGACUCGACGGAAGUUGAAUCACUUCAUCUAUAUUGCUUUCAGUAUUUUGGGUAACUAAAUUUAACAUUUGCACAUACAAAUGUUAAAGUACAAAUGUUAAAUCUAGUUACCCAAGCAGAAUAUGAAGAUAGUUUAUAGUAUAUAUAUACUAUAUAAAUCUAGUUAACAUUUAGUCUAAAUGUUAAAUCUAGUUACCUAAAAUCCUGAAAGCAAAAUGUAUAAAUAUAUAUCUUUUAAGGCAGUAUAAGCUUCGAUUCCUAUUGCUGCUCUGUUAAAUCUCAUCUUUCGUUGUGGCCCAACACUCUAGUAUGCAUGUUGCACCAAGCUUCUUUGAGCCGCUCUGCCCUCUGAUUUUGCUGCGUAGGGGAAUCUUUAUCAGGUUGGGCUACUUCCAGUUGUGCGAUGUAAAGAUUCGUAUUUUCUAGAAGGUAGACAAAAAACUCGCGUUCUCUUAAGGCAACAACCGGAAGAUUCUGCAGCGCACAGGGCAUACCAUUAUUGUAGAAACGACCUUUAGUACCGAUCUCCAACCCCCUUUAAAACUGGUUUUGCAACCGGUACCGUUAUGUCGGUCCUUUAGUACCAGAUCAAAUAAGUACCGGUUGGUAACCAGUAUCAACUUGUUUUGCGGCCAAAAAAAUAAAGAAAAAAACAGUCAGAAGGCUCGCACACACGCGCAUCACAUGAAAUAUGCGUGUGCGGGGUCCAUGGGAUUCGAACCCAUGAAAUCAAGCUGCACGCGACCCUUCGUUACCAUCUCACCUACAUAGCGCAUAUGCUUUCCUGAAGUAACCCGUGGAGGAGGCUUUAGUACCGGGUCAUAACACCACCCGGUACUAAAAAUGACUCUUCAGUACCGGGUCAUAACACCACCUGAUACUAGUAUCGGAUGGUGUAAUGACCCGAUACUAAAAGGCCUCUAGGGACCCUCAAAUUUGAACCCGGUACUAAUGCUAAUAUUAGUAGCGGGUCAAAGUGCAGCCAGAACUAAAGCAUGGGAUGAAAGGUCAUAUUUCUAGUAGUGUAUAGUUGUUGUGAAGGACUGACUUGGCUGUCCUCUCUCUUCUCCAUCCCCUUGGUCUUACGCCGCCGCUCGCACGCGAGCCGGUGCCCAACCAGAGGAGUGAGAGCUAGGGGCAGGUUGGGAGGUGGGGAUAGUGACUGGUGGCCAGGGUGAUGGUUGAUCCUGGUGGGGUUAGGGUUUCAGGGUUUUCGAGCUUCCUAUGGUCGGCGAACCUAGAGGAGAAGCUCAACAUCAGCUGCAACCCGCGAUGGUGGUGGUUUGGCCGGCGCCCGAGGCGAGGCAGCGCGGGAGUGCUGCCGGUGGGUUGGUGUUGGCACUCAUUAUUGACAACUAUUUUGUUCAUAAAAUAACACUCAAACUUGCUGCUGCUGCUGCUGCCAUCGCCACCCUAGCCAUAAUAUAAAGGCAAAAUUUGCUAAAGGACAUGCAAAAUGAUGCUAGUUUGCUGGCGGGCAUCGUUGACCUUGUAAUAUGCUACAAGACACUCUAGUUGUGUAUCAAUUUGCUGAAAGACAUUGCUAUGACUAAAAUAAUGUUUCUGGACUGAGUUGGAGAGAGAGAUGGAGUGAAAUGUCUGUUUUGCCCAUGACCCCACUGGUCAGAUCCUUCUUCUUCCACCCUCCUUUGUUCUUUCUUCAACCAUUACCCAGCUCCAGCGUGUUGCAGAUCUACGAGGGUGGCGGCCUGGGGCGAGGGGCAUCGCUCGCCCUUGGAGGAGCGCUGCGAGCGACGGCGCGGGGGCGGCAACAGCGCGUCAGAACCUGACUGUUCGUUAGCUCCUCUCGCUGCUGGGGAAGAAGGAGGGGGAUGGGCCAUGGACGGGGUUCCCUUGAAAACCUCAGCGUCGAGCUCGGGCGGCUACGCGCAGGCAGCACUAGGCUGCUUCACGGGGAGGGGGCGCGGCCAAUCAUUGGCACCCCACUGGUCCAAUGCUGAUGAAGAUGGUGCCAGCGUCGUGUGAGGACAUCUCAUCUCCUCGAGUUCCAUGGCCAGCACAGGUGAGCUGCCGCUACCACAAAACAGAGGUUUCGUGAGAGUCAAAAAACCUUAUGAAAAUAGCUAAAACCAUCAUGAAAAUAAUCCGUGACAUGACACUCUCACGAAAAUCCUCUCACAAAUAUGGUGCCAUGAAAAUACCAUUUUCAUGAGAGUGAACUGUCAUGAUUUUAUAAGCGUCAAUACUCGGUAUAAAUUGACUACUGCUGUGAGUUCCCUUUCAGCUUAUCGUAGGCAUACAUUAUUGCUAGCACGGUAAAGAGAACCAACACGAAUGAUGAAGUAAACGUAGCGGAACUUUUGUAUACCAACACCCUUACGUACCGGUGUCAUUCCCCACUGCCACAUAUAUUCUUAUAUGCUAACCAGCUUUGAAAAUUAAGCGAUUAAAAUAAUUAUUUCAAGAUAGAAAUAACUUAUCGGCUUCUCGAAGCUUGUGUAAUGUGAAUUCAAGGACUCGAUGGAAGUUGAAUCGCUUCAUCUAGAUUGCUUUCAGGAUUUUGGGUAACUAAAUUUAACAUUUGCACACACAAAUGUUAAUGUACAAAUGUUAAAUCUAGUUACCCAAGCAGAAUAUGAAGAUACUCUAUAGUAUAUAUGUACUAUAUAAAUCUAGUAAACAUUUAGUCUAAAUGUUAAAUCUAGUUACCUAAAAUCCUAAAAGCAAAAUGUAUAAAUAUAUAUCUUUUAAGGCAGUAUAAGCUUCAAUUCUCUGUUAAAUCUCAUCUUUCGUUGUGGCCCAACACUCUAGUAUGCAUGUUGCACCAAGCUUCUUUGAGCCGCUCUGCCCUCUGAUUUUGCUGCGUAGGGGAAUCUUUAUCAGGUUGGGCUACUUCCAGUUGUGCGAUGUAAAGCUUCGUAUCUUUUAGAAGGUAGACAAAAUACCCGCGUUCUGGAAGAUUCUGCAACGUGCACGUUGGCGCUGCCACCGUGGUUGCUUAAGCAAAUGCAUCCAACUGAAUCGUCCUUAAGCUGAAUAAUUGGAUAUGGUAUCCACUGCUUAAAGCUGCCAUGUUUAGUACGUCUUUGUUUUUCUCUCUUUAUAUUCCAAUAAGGUCGGUGAUCUUGAUGCCACACACUCAGAUGUGUGUUUAUCUCCAGAUACUACUCCAUGCUACCUACCCUUUGUGUUUUGUUCAAUAACUGGGUAUCAUAUCCUAGCCAGUGUGCCAUCUGUUUUGUGUUUGUUUCCUUCUAGUUCCAAAGGGGUCAUCAUGAUGUUACCUUCUUUUGAGGUGUCUAUGAUGACUUCGUUAAUAUCAAUAUUAACCAAUUCAAUCUGUCUUAACUAUUUGUAAGGGGUAUGAUGUAUGCAUGAUUAUAACAAUGAUUGCGCAUACAAUCGCCGCCAAAGAAACGGUCAAUACCAUUAAGACAUAUUACAGACAAUUCUCAUAAUCUAUAAUGAAUAUACAUAUUCACUACUGCAGAAGACUGUCAUUUGUAUCGGCUCAUACGUGCCAGGGCAAAGGUCACCCUUGCAUUAAGUACAUUUGCACGGUAAAGACAACCAACACGAAUAAUGAAGUAAACAUGCCGGUGCUUUUGUACACCAACACGCUUACUUAAAUGUACUGGUGUCAUUCCUCACCGGUAGCCGGCUUGAAAAUUAACCAAUUAGAACAAUUAUUUAUUGUAUCGGUGUGAUUUUUGACCUAUUGGAAUAUGAAUUUGACCGUUACUGCAUUCGUCAAGACUCAAGAGAGAAAUAACUGAUCGGCUUCUUAGAGCGUGUGCAAUGUGAAAUCAAGGACUGGAUGGAAGUUGAAGCGCUAGCACUAGUAGAGAAACGACUUUCCAUCCACCCCCUUUUGUCCCGGUUUAAAGUUGGCUCGGGAUAAAAGGUUCACCAACCGGGACUAAAACUCAGUCACUGGUGGGAGGCUCACCAACCGGAACCUUUUAUCCCGGUUGCAAAGGCUAAUGGGAAAAAAAGACUCUGAGAGGCCUUUUAUCCCGGUUUGAAACACCAACCGGGAUAAAAGACCCCCCUUUUAUCCCGGUUGGUAACACCAACCGAGAUAAAAGGGUCAAGAGCCUUUUAUCCCGGUUGGAAACACCAACCGGGAUAAAAGACCCCCUUUUAUCCCGGUUGGUGUUUCAAACCGGGAUAAAAGGGCCCCCACGAGGUGACUGGAAGGUGACUGGAAGGGGAUUAAAUCGUGGGGGACCCUUUUAUCCCGGUUGGAAACACCAACCGGGAUAAAAGGGGGUCUUUUAUCCCGGUUGGUGUUUCCAACCGGGAUAAAAGGGUCCCCCACGAGUUAAUACAAAAGGAUAGUAUCCCCUACAUAGUCAGAUGUGGUGUGUAGGUGGGAUGGUAAGGAAGCUACGCGCGAGCUCCGGAAUUUUUUUUUUUUUUUUUUGCAGCGUCGGCGCUCUCUACCCUUUUAUCCCGGUUGGUAUUACCAACCGGGAUAAAAGGGGGUCUUUUGUCCCGGUUGAGUGACCCGGGAUAAAAGACCCCCCCUUUUUUCCCCGGUUAGUUUAUCCCGGAUGCAUUUUCGGGAUAAAAGCACCCUACCAACCGGGAUUAAAGCUCACUUCUCUACCAGUGUAGCUUCAUCUUCCGCUGCAAGUUAAUUGCUUGGAUAAGAAGUUGUAGCCGCUGCAAGUUAUAAAUAGUCCCGCUGAUGCUGUGCUCCGAAGUCUAUACUAUAUAUGCGGAAACUAGAUUGCUUUCAGGAUUUUGGGUAACUAAAUUUAACAUUUGUACAUAAAAAUGUUAGUUUACGAAUGUUAAAUCUAGUUACCCAAGCAGAACAAGAAGAUAGUAUAUAGUAUAUACUAUAUAAAUCAAGUUAACAAUUAGUCUAAAUGUUAUAUCUACUUACCCAAAAUAUUGAAAGCAAAGAAAGAAUAAGUAUAUAUCUUUUGUUGGAAAAUUGGUCCACGGAGAGGCCCAUUUAGGCCUCGUUCGUUUCACCGGGAUGGGAUUCCAGUCAGGAUUACUUCCAAGUUCGGUUUGAGUGAUUCCACCCGUGUCACUCAAUCCGGCUAGGAUUCAUUCUAUGGGUGAGGAGGUAUGGUUUCAAUCCAGGCCAUCUAAUGUAGAAGGAUUCCAAUCCAGGCCGGUUUUCGUUCCAGGCCAGACUAAAACGAACAACACUUUCAAUGCAAGUCUGGUUUCAAACCGGGCCAUUUCAAACCACCCGGAAUGGACCUCGUUCCAGGCCAAUCCGGUGAAAACAAAUGAGGCCUUAAUGGAAUCCCAAAGCAAGAGUUCAGUGGCAUUCUAUAGUCCCAUGCUGCUAGUUUGAGUUGGUCGAAGCCAACUUAAAUAGGAGAGCUCUCUCACUUCUCUAAAUACGUAACUGAAGGAGAGAAGGGGGCUUGGGUUACACAACGCACGCACGCACGCAUAUUUGCGUUCUUUUCGCGUAACCAACCGCGUGACUUGAAACUUGCGACGUAGCGUGCUGCUAAGUCAAGUUGAUAUAACCUUUUUGCCGUUUGCAUGUAAUCUUUUGACAACGGUCAUUGGAGGUGAUAAGCACGCAGUCAAUACCUUAAUCUUGAGUUAAUAGGGUGGUUACUACUGCCAAUUAGUGGGGCAAUUUUGUAGGGGAAACGGUUAGCAGAGGGCUACCGUCUUCUCUAUAAGAAGUUCUGGAGACGUCCAGGAACACACAUGUACAUGUGAGAGACCCACAAAUUCCUUCCCUUCUCCCUUUUCCAUGUGGUGAAGUGUGCUGUGGUACUGAGCUGCUUGAUCUCGCCGCUCUUCUCCUUGGCAUGCACCGAGGAGGAGGGUGAGCGGUAUCUCCGAGCUAUUGCCGUCAGGAAGCCUGCACGAGGGACAACAAAAAGUUUUUGGGUAGCGCAACUGCCAGCACAACUCUCCCUCCGCCUCUUCUUCACGGUUGAUGGCCACCACAAGCAUAAACCUCGCCUUCGCAUCCACGCAAAAGGGUCGCUGGGGUGCCUUCUUGCAUCGCUUCUCAGCCUCCUUGACUUGCGGCCAGCCAAGAACUGCGCCACCACCUCGGGUGCACGCCACCACUCCAGGGCUGCUACCCCAUGCCUGCGGCCGCCGCCGGCCACCACGCGUGUGCAACCGCGUCGCACCGCUUCCUUGCUUUGUGCCACCACUGCUGCUGUACCACCAGCUCCACCACCUUGGGCUGGUCGCCAGAGUGACUGAUAACUUAUUAUCUGUAACUACUAUUAACUCAGGGAUACAUGCGUCUUUUGCUUCUCCUACUAAUAUGUCCUAAAAUAUCUAGGAUGCCUUAUAUUUCUGGACAGAGGAAGUAUUUGAAUAAAAUGAACCAAUUUAAAAAAAUGUGUUGUACACUACUACAGAAAGACCUAUCAGUGUCAAACCCAAAAAUGUUGUCACCGCCAGUUUUGGGCAUCAUUGGUGAAAGGUUGGCGGUGAUGGGCUUUCCCUUCAACAACGGCACUGGAGCCGACGGUGAUUGACAUUAGAAAACAAAAAAGGGGACCCUACCUAGCCACCCCUGCAACCCGGCCGGCCGUGCCUCCCCUCAUCCCCACCACCUCGCCUCCCCAUGACCCCCCGCCGGCGCCCUUGCGCCUAGCCCCCUCAACUGCCCAGCCGGCCACCCUCAUCACGAGAGAGAGGUGCAUGUUGUAUAAUUGCGUGAAUUUUUUAAUGUUUAAUUUCAUGUAAGUUCCGUGUAAUAAAUUGUACAAGUUUUAUUGUAUAUAUGAAUUCCAUAUAUAUAUAUAUAUAUUUAUAAUUUAAUGUAUGGUUUCAUGUGUAUAUUUCAAUCAUGUGUAUAUUUAGUAGAUUGCCGAUUUUCUUUUUCUACUAGACAAGGGUUGAUGUAUAAUUACGUGUAUAUGUUUAUUGUACGGGCAAUUAGGACAAGUUUUGUAUAAAUUUCUUUUAUUUGAUGGUUGUUGUAUGGUUUCAUGUAUAUACAUUUAUUGUACUACUUUAGACAAUUUUUAAUUUAAUGUUUCUAUGAUUAGAUGUGUGUAUAACUAAUUGUAUUAUUAGUUAAGAUGGGAGCUAAAGAGGAUGAAAGGUAUAUAAUGGAGCAGAUUAUUGCUAGCUCAAACGUUGCAAGAACCUACACCGAGGGUGAGGGUAGCUAGGUGGACAUGUACCUCAACAUGUCCAGUGAUGGCAAUGACGAUGAGGAGCACGAGCAUGACAUCUAUGAUAAUGCGGAACAAGACAUUGCAGAAUUGGAAGGUUCUAAUGAGGUGUGCUUCAUGUUGACAAUCUAGUUGGCUUUUUUUCGUUGGUCACACCUUAGUUACCAUAGAACUUCGUCUCGGGAGAAGAUUGGUGGUGGUAUGGUGAUUGGAAUUUUAUUUCCACGAAAUCUGAUUUCCAUCGAAUCAUAUCCCUUGUAUUUAUCUUCUUUUUAUUUGUGAGAGCAUCUUCUUUAUGCUUGCAAAACAAUUCAAGUGCACAUACUACCCCUAGGGUGACGAUUGGGAGUAGAAAUAAUUGCCAACAAAACAACACCACAUCCUAAGAUUCUUAACUUGUGGCAUAAUUAGUCUAGUAAAAAGAAAGAUAAAAACCUAAUGGGUGUAUGUGAGUGCAAUGUGUAUAUGCAUAUGAGUGGAAGGCAUAUAAGCAAAGACAAUAUUUACACAUAGUUCUAAACACCAUGUUUACAGCUAGGUUGCUGAAUUUCUCCAUAGCCAUAGAGAUUAAUUAACCAAGGUCAAAACACGAUGUCUAUCCCAAGAUCAGUAAUUAUUUAUAGCACAAGAAAAAGAAAGCGCAUUGCAAAGUUUAUAAACCAACCAAUACAGCAUGAAAACAAGAUGAAUAGCUAGCAAGGUUUAUUAAACUGAAUGAUGACGGUCUGUAAGCAAGUUUAAACACCAUCUUUACACAAGAUUGCAAAUGGAAAAUGCCCAUAUGAAGCACUAACAUGGAUAUGAAAUCAUUCAUCAUAAAGCGUAAAGAACAACCAAGCCAACCAUAUGCAAAGCAUGAAUGGAAUGCAAUGAAGGUGCAAGAGAACAUUUUUGGAUGAACACAUUAUGAUGAUGGCAAAAUGCAAUGCAUGCAGAAAAAAUAAAUAUGAACAUGAAUAUGAUGAUCAGGGGCGGACCCACUAUUGUGGCCUGGGUAUUCCUCGGCAUACCCAAUAUUUUUGGGAAAAUGUUUAGUAGUUUUUAAUGGCAUAUACAUGUAUAAUAUAGUUUAGGUGUUAAAAUUGAUAUUCACAGCUAUUUUGGGCUCCAAUUCGCGUCCAAACCAACCUGGCCCACAGACCGCACCCGGCCGCCCGGCCCAUCGGCCCAUCUUGUCACUGAUCCUCCCACCACCACACUCAGCCCGUCAGUUAGUCAGGUCCCGAGCUCCUGCCUGACCUAGUCCGCUACCACCGCCAGGCGCCAGGCACAGCUGUACACGCCGCCCCCGUCCACCCACGUCCGCCGCACGGCCGCGUCGCGCCCCCCCCCGGCGCCCGCUGCUGCCAGAACCCAUUAGGCCUCCACCGGCAAGUCCACCCACAGUCCCGCGCGACGCGGCAGCCUCUUGGCUCUCGGCGCUCGCGGCGCGCCAAUGCCUGCGCAGCCCCAGCAGGCGACUGCCCCCCCCCCCCCCGCAUCGGGCCUCGGCCCCUCCCCAGCUCCCCCUCCCCCCUCCACCAGGACUGCCUGCUGGCCCCCACCGCGAGGUAAUCGAAAUGGACUGCUCAAUCUCUCAAUCUGUUGACAUGAUGCACACGGUUGCAAAAAUAGAUGUGUCAAAAUAGAUGUAUUGCCAAUUGCUAUAGAUGCAUAUGGUUGACAUGAAGAAGUCAAAAAUGACAUUUGGUUCCUUGUAGGCAGUCAAAAAUGAAGAAGUCAAACAAUAUUGAUCUGAAAUCAAUGCGGGAAAGGGCUACGAAGACACACGGGUAGAUUCCCUUGUGAACUUUUUAUGUCGUUCGUCUAAAUAUAUUUUUGCAAUGGGCAUACCCUACUCUGAAAUCCUGGGUCCGCCACUGAUGAUGAUGGUCUAAACAUAAAACAAGCCUAGAUUAAUUAGCUACAACUGAAAUUAAGCAAAGGUUAAUGUCAUUGACCCUAGCUCUAUCCUAGCUUUUACUAAAGUCCCGGCACAUAUAGUGGUUGGGCCCACUCUCUCUACUUCCCUCUCUGCUGCAUGCACACACACGAGCAACUGGAGGCCCAACAAAGCCCAGAAGGGUUCGGCCGAACCCGUCCGAUCCAGUCUGAGCGCCGCUCCCUCCCAGCCUUCGCGCAGAUGCUCCUCCAACGUUCCUUGACCCCUCCCUCAGUGUCCCAUUGGGUUUAACAUUGUAGGAGAGGAGUCCCUUUUUUAAAAUCUCAACCACCUCCUCUCCUCAUUCACUCCACUCUCAUCUCCAUCAAACUCACCAAGAUCCACAUCGGAAAUACCUGCUUACCACCAUGGCUGGCAAAGCCCUCGUCCCUUUCACCAACUUGGGCUUGACCAUUGAUCUCGAUGGGAAAAUCACUCCAGCAAAUGUCAUUGUCCCUGUCGGCGAUCUGGCGAUGGAGGAGGUCCAGGCACUAGAGGUCGAGCCCCUAGCCAUCAUACCGCCCAAGGGGUAAAGCAGGAGCAUGACAGGCGCUGCUAGGGGUUCAGCCGAACUCCCAGUUCAGCCAAACGAGGACGGCGUCGCCUCGGCCUCCCGCUCGACUGCAUGCUUCCCCUUGCCAAGGAGGACUCCAGAACAGCGGGCGCGUGCGUCAAGUCCCUACAAAAGGCUGAAAUACAAUGAAUAUCCAGGGUCACCCUUGAAGAUGGGUGAACGCUACGCCGGGUCCUUGUUUGACUAGUACGGCGAUGCAUUCUGCCACCGCUAUGUCGUUGUCGAGAUUAGCGGAUCAAGACUUAGACUAGUAAAUUUCUUUUAUGCGCGUAAGGCUUCAGAUGGUGGCGUGGGAGACAUGGGUUUUAUACUAGUUCGGGCAAUGGAAUACCCUACGUCCAGUGUCUGGAGCUGCUUGUGUUGCCCACGCGGGGUUCUGUAGUAGGGGUUACAGGUGUGCGAGAGAGGGAGCUAAUCCCAGGUCUCUUAGGCGUGUUCCGGUCCUCUAGAUGGGAGAAGUGUGUUCUGUUUGCUUGGGAGUAUCGGUUGUGUCUGAGUUGUCUCCGGAGCCUCCUCCCGUCUCAGGUCCCCGAUUCUCCUUUCAUAGCACAAGGAGACCAUCGGGGUUACAGACGAGACCGAGCGUGGGGAGGAGUAAAGAGAUAAACAUAGCUAGGUAAAAAUACAACAAGAAAGGGGGGAACCAAGUUUCUAGGUCACCGGCGUCCUCGCCGGCCUUCGACUUCCGCCGGCGCAUUUGUCGGAGGAGGGUGGCCGCCAUCGCGUUCUGUCGAUGGCUUCCUCGGUGACUGUAGCCACCGGGCGUGAUGAUGGCAUUUCGUCGUGACCCUUUGUCUGUUGGGGGAGGCGGCGGAUCCUGCCAUUCUGCUGACGGCUCGCGGAGUGCGAACGUCGCAUCCCUGCCGCUGGGCACGCGGGGCGCGAGAACGUGCGAGGCUUCCCCCUACCCCAGGCGGCGCAGGCCAUGAGUGCCCUGUGGCAAAUCGGAGGAGGCCGCAGCUACUGUAGCUUGUACUGUGCAGCCACGUAUGGGUACUUGUGGCAGGUUGCGUGGUGGAUGCGGAUAUCCUUCUCCCUGACAGAUCUGCGGCGCAUUUAUGGCGAGAUCGACAUGGGGACCCACAAGACCCGCGCCCAAGGCGGAUACUUGUCUGGAGGGCCCGGGUUAGCCUGACCCCCUACGCUUGGGGUCGGGCGAGGCGGAGACUUGCGGCGGGGCGUCGGACGCUCCCGACACUAGACCUGCGGUCGCGCAAGGCGGAGCUUGGUCUUCCGGGGGUCGGGGGUGCCGGACCCCAGGAUGCGGGGUCGGGCGAGGUGGAGCGUAAUUCUUGCCUCCCAUGUUGGGCCGAUGGCAGUCUUUGUUACCUCUAGUGGGCUUGGGCCUUUAUGUUUUGUUGUUUCCAUGGGCUUCGAGAGGUCGUUAAUAUUUCCCCCCAACAGUAGCCCCCGAGCCUGUGGUGGAGUGGGGGCGCUCCUCCGGAGGCUACUAUCAUCGCCCCUAGGGAAUCCUCGCAGUUGAUCCGGGAUAGGAGGUGUUGUUUGCACGGCUUGACCGAGGGGGUCGAUUAGGCGACGCAUCCUGUGAGCGACUCGGUGCGGGAGGGUUUCUUGUUGUUCCCUUCUGUCUGAGAGCCUUAAGUCGAGACCACCUGCGUGGCCUUUGGUUGCAAGGCCAGCCCCCGAGCCCCCGCACGUUGCAGGGGACCGGUCGGAGGCUAGGUCGACUUUUGUUCAUUACCCUCAAGCGUCUGUUCGCUAGGACGGAGGGGGCGAGCCGUGCCAUGCUAUCCUCAUCGGACGAACCAUGGUGCUCAUUGAGUUACUAACGGGUUGAUUCGAGUGGGAUCCCGGUCCCCGUUCGGGGGGGGUCCGGCUUGGGCCAAGCUGGUGGCGUACCCCAGGCUCCGGUCGGCCAGUUCAUAUAGUUCCUGAGUCCGUUCGGUCGGACCGGGGGCUCAUUGCCUUUCUUCGGGGAAAAACCAUGAACUUUGAUGCCGGUCCAGACUCGAAUGUGAGAUUGAGACGCCCGGGGCUGUCGCGUGCCCGGGUGAUGGCCGCUAGCGGACCCGUCUCCUCUCACCCCUCACUCGGGGGUAUCCUGAGGCGGCUGUCGAACCCGUGGCGGGCCAGCCUUCGAACCUCUGGAUCGUAAUGGGCCGUAGGGGCGUUUUCAGCCCCGUAUCCCUUUUUACCUUUUGGUGGGCCUUGGGCCGAAUCAUGGAGGAGGUCGGGCCUUGGGCCGGAUGCGGAGGAUGUCGUGCCUUGGGCCGGAUGUGGGGGACGUCGUGCGUGUCUUCCGGGAGACGAAGUGGUGGAGGGUGCCAACCCGCGAAUCGAGGGAGGAGGGGAUGUUUCUACUGCAGGUCAUGCGCACGGUUUCCGAAAAGGCAGCGGGCGUGACGGGACGUACCUCGCGCCGCAUUUAUUGCGAUGGGGGCGUCUGUUCUGCUUCCCUCGUGCCUUCCCUAUAAAACGAGGACUUCGCCUCGCCGGUUCCGCCCGCCAUCUACCUUCAAGCCUUUUCGCCUCCUCGCGCGCCCUUAGCUUUCCUGUGCCCGCUUCGUCUUCCUCCGCCCAGUGCCGCGCCCUUUCUCCCCAUCCGCCGUCGAGUUCUUCUCCCUCCGGCGAUGGGAUCCUGGGCGCGUUCCCACUUCGGCCCCUCACGCGCCGAAGGCCUAGUGAGGAAAGGCCUCCUUUGCGAGAGGACGGAGACGGAUGAGUGGGGGUUCCCUGAGAUGGAAGAGGUGCCGACUCCGCCCACCGGCUACGUCGUUUCCUUUGCCCACUUCCACGAGAGGGGGUUUGCGACUCCGCCGAGCCUCUUCUUCCGCGGGCUUUUGUAUUACUACGGGCUUGAGCUGCAGCACCUCAACCCCAACGGGAUUCAGCACGUCGCGGCGUUCGUUGCGGUGUGCGAGGGGUUCCUGGGCAUUGAGCCCAACUUCUCGCUGUGGAAGUACUUCUUCACGGUCAGCCUAUACCAGAAGGCCGAGAAGAGGGGAAGCCAGCAGCGGUCGACCCCGGUGCCGAUAGGGUGCGUCGGAAUCCACCUCUGCCAUACUCGCGCCAAGGAGUAUAUCGCGAUGAAGACCGCGGCAUCCCACAAGGGGUGGCACCAGCAAUGGUUCUACGUGAAGAACUACUCCAACCCCCCCUGCCGGAGUUCACCGGCCGCAUUAUUGAAGCGGCGCCGGAGGUGUGGGUGUACGGCCCGGUGGAGAAGGAGAAGAAGCGGAUCACCGGCCUGCUGCAGGCCAUCGAGCACCUGAAGGAGAGGGGACUGACCGGAGCCGGAGUCAUCGGGGCGUACCACGCCCGGCGGGUGGCGCCGCUGAUGCUCCGGGUCCGCUCGCUCGCCGACAUGACCCCCGGUGCUCUCACCGAUGGCACUGUCCUCGCGACGGGUGCUCUCGCUGCCUCCGAGAUCCGGCAGCGGAUCCGGGAGGCGCUGGAGGACAAGGACGCCGAUUACCCGGUGCCCGGCCACCCUCCGAUGCGCCCGGACGAGAAUUUCAUUGAUCUGGUAAGGAUUUUGCGCGCCAGUUUCCCUCUCUUGCGUUUCUUGGUAUGCCGUUCUGACGCGAGGCCCUCUGUGUUUGCAGGGUAGCAUGACCCGGGUCGUCGACUUGCGUCCGCCAGUGUCGGAGGACGCCGAGUGGCGGUAGCAGAACCGUCUCCUUGCCGAGAAGCAAAAGUGACGCAAGGACAAGAGACAGCGAAGAAGAAGAAGAGGGCCGCCAAGGAGUUCCAGCGGCGGCGGUGGGGAUAGGUCGUGUCGGAUGACGAUGACGAUGAGAAGGAGGAGGAGGAUGACGAGGAGGAGGAGGAGUUUAUCCUGUCCCCCCGGUCAGGGGCGCUUGUUAUCCGGGAGCCGCGCUCCCAAGCGGCCAUGGGGGACAAGGCGGGCGAGCUGCCUGCCCGGACCCGAUCCUGCGAAGCUUUGGGGGCGCGCCCCAGGGGUCGGCGCAGAGCGCCCCCCGGGGGUCGACGGAGCCGACCCCCAUCCCUACACCUGCAGCCCAGGAGCAGAGGAGCAGCGACAAGCGGCCGUUGCCAGAUGCCCCGGGGUCGGCGUCCAGCUCAGAGGCGAAGCGCGCGCGCCGCCCUUGCGCUGGGGGAACGUGAGUUGAAUUUCCUUGCGAAUCUCGUUCCUUUCCAUGCAUUGUGUUUGUUUCCGCUGAUGCUGUUUGUUGUCUCACAGCACCGCCCCUCAAGGCCUUGUCCCGCCGUUGGCGCCAAAGAAGGCGUUGCGGUGUUGUCGCCUCUGCGGGGCGGACCGCGGCUCCGCCGGCGGCGAGUGGCGGGGUCACUGGUGAGACCGCGGGUCCUACCGCGGAGGUGGCCCCUGCGGCGGCAACCGGUGGAGUGGUGCCACCGCCGGGCAUGGGACAGGGUCUGGACCCCGCUCCGUCCUCCGCCUCUUCGGCCGACCCCGCGGUGCAGAGUAUCGCUCCUGGGGGCCCUCAGGCCGGGGAGGUGAUUGACCUCGACGCCGACGAGGUGGAGGAGACGGCGGCGGUGGAGACGGGGGCGGUUGCCCCAGCGGCCAUGACGGGGACGACGACGGCGACGGGGGAAGGAGAGUCUACCCCCGCGGCCACGGCGGGGACAGUGGCGACAGAGGAGGCGGGGACGCCCGCCCCGGCGGCUGCGACGGAGGAGGCGGCGGUGACGGAGACGGGGGCUUCCGCCCGGGAAGCCACAGCCGAGGUGGCAGCGGCGACGGAGGUGAAAGUGCCUGUUCUGGAGGCCACGGUGGGGGUGGGGACGCCUGCCUCGUGGCCACGACGGAGGGCGAGGCGGCCCCAGGGACACUUGCUCCGGCACCCGCGUUGGAGGCGGUGGCGCCGACGGGUUGGCCCGUGGCGGCCUCGACGGGGGCGGGGGUGCGUGCGCCGGGACCGUCGGUGAGGCCGGCGACUUCCGGGAUGGUGGUGCCCGUCUUGACGGCGGCGGCGGCGCGGUCGGCCCCCGCCCUUGCCUCUACCACUCCCAUUCCCAAGGCGUGGAGCGGAUCCGUCCUGCGUUGGUCGUCUCGUGACGACCCGCAGAGGCCCCUCUUCACGUUGGAUGAUGCCACAGAAUGGGGCAAGUGGCAGGCGCUGCAGGGCGGACUCGCUAACGUCCGCGCCGCUCUAUCUUCGGCGUUGGGGGAGCUGGACGGCGUCAUCUUCCCCGGUGGCCGGGUAUGGUGCUUUCUCCGUUGGUUAUUUUCUUCCCGUUACUUCGUCCCUGAUGGCACAUUGUUCUGCAGGCCCUCCAAGAAUGUAGCCGGGGAAAAUCUGAUUUCCUUUGGCUCGAGCAGGGGCUCUGGGAGCGCUUCAACUUGGAGUUGCAGCGGACCGGGGAGCUGACCAUGCAAGUCGCCACCGUCUAGCAUGUCAUCGACGAUCUGCGAAGGCACGAGCAGGCGGCACAGGAGGACGCGCGGCGGGCGGAGGCCAAGUUCCAGGUCGUUGCCGAAAGGGCUCGCUGCGACCGCGAGGAGUUCCAGGCCGUUGCCGAAAAGGCCCGCCACGACGCUGAGGAGCUCGCACGGCUGAAGGUGCAGCAUGAAGCUCUUCAGAAGAGCGGCAGAGGGCCUGGCAGGACCGGGACGCCGAGAAGGUCCGGAAGGAGGAGGCUGAGAAGGUGGCGGCCAACCUUGGGGCUGAGGUCAGCCAGCUCCAAGUGCAAGCGCGAGAGCUUCAGGCCUCCGUGGCCCAGGGGCUCGACCAGGAGCGCCAGCUGAAGGCCUAAUCCGAGGGUAUGACUCUGUUUAUUUCUUUGUCUUUGUGAUGUUGCGGUGAUAUUUUAUUUGGCGGGUUCUUCUGGAUGAUCCUUGCAGAUGAGCUCAACUGGCUGAGGGAGGUGCUUGACGCGGAGCGCGCUGAGCACGGCGACCUGCGGGACGCGGUCCGCGUCAUCUGUGACUUCCUUAGUGUGGUCCAGGGGGAGGGGACGAGCUCGCUGGCGGCUCGUGUCCUCGGGACGUACCGCCGGACCAGCGAGAUCGCCCUGGAAGCGCUUCGCACCGGCUUGAGGCAAGCCUUUGGGGUCUUCGGCUCCCACUAUUCCGGCAUCAACUUCGCCGGGAUGAGCGGGGGAUACGCCACCGGCUACUACGAGGCCGAGCUGGAUGAGAUCGACGUGUCGGUGCUCAGCCCGGCGGAGGCCUUGGUGAAGCUCCUCGAGGAUGAGGCCGUCCCGCCCGAAGAUCCCCGGACGAGUUAACUAUAUCGGGCUGGCGCCCCAGAUGUAAAUACGUUAGGGAAAGACUUGUUUUUUGUGAGGGCCGUAGAGGCCUUUUCUAUGAAUUGUCGUAAAAAAGUUUUUGAUUCCCUUUCUUGCUUUUUGGACUUGGAAAGUUUAGAGCACGUUGUCGGGCGUGUCAGUAAGCUUUGAUGAGCGAAGGCACCGUAGCCGCUGGGGCGUCGUUUUUUUUGCAGUCCGAUCAAUCUUGCCUGAACACCGUUCGUGCACUUUCUCCUUUUUAUGCCCAAAAGUUCAGAAAGAGGGUCGGCUCGGAAAGAGAAAGCGUUUUGAGAGGGUGUCAAGUGGCUUAGGUACUUGCGGCAGGUUGCGUGGUGGACGCGGAUAUCCUUCUCCCUGACAGAUCUGCGGCGCAUUUAUGGUGAGAUCAACAUGGGGACCCACAAGACCCGCGCCCAAGGCGGAUACUUGUCUGGAGGGCCCGGGUUAGCCCGACCCCCUACGCUUGGGGUCAGGCGAGGCGGAGACUUGCGGCGGGGGGUUGGACGCUCCUGACCCUAGACCUGCGGUCGGGCGAGGCGGAGCUUGGUCUUCCAGGGGUCGGGGGCGCCUUACCCCGGGAUGCGGGGUCGGGCGAGGCGGAGCGUAAUUCUUGCCUCCCAUGUUGGGCCGACGGCAAUCUUUGUUACCUUGGGUGGGCCUGGGCCUUUAUGUUUUGUUGUUUCCAUGGGCUUCGAGAGGUCGUUAAUAUUUCCCCCCAACACUAUGAGGAGGACUUGUGGGCAGAAAGUCAGCUACCACAAACUUGCCUCUGAAUAUUUGGAGUGCAAACAUUGGAUGGUGGUUGUGGAGAGCCCCAGCCAUACCUCGCACCCGUGGAGAGGUAAUUGUCGGAUUGCUUGGUUCGUCUCUAGAAUGCGACAAGGUCAGGCGCCACCUCUCACUGCUGCCAGUCAGAAGGCCGAGGGGCCAGUUUCAACAUAGUAAUGAGAAUCUCCGAAGGCCAAUAUGGUUAAGCAGCUAACCUCCAUGAUCAUAGACUUACGUUUAGAAAAUAGGAGGCUUAGCGAUGCGUUAACAGAGCAGAAGUUAGAAACAGAAGAACUUAAGGACGACUUCCGUGUCCUCCGCCUUGGUCUUUGUGCUAAGAUAAAGCGCUUGUACAAUGCCACGGGGAAUGACGGUCUCUACGAUGCAGCUCAAUAGACGUGCCCCUUGUAUCCUUUCCUUUAGGCACUUUAGAAUAUGUUUAUUUGUUUUCCUUCAUUUUAAUUUCCAAUAGAUUGUUAGCGCCUCCAAUUUAAUUUCAAUAAAGUGUAGACUCACCGGUCAUCCAACUUGAUGGAGUCCUUUUGUCACCUAGUUGUCUUUGGAAGAAGUAGCUGGGUACAAAAUAAGUGUGGGGGAGAGCCACAGACUCUCUAGAGCUGAAACAAUGCACAACACCCACAAAUAGAGAAAACCACGCUGCACCAGCACGUACGUGAAAGUGGAGCCAGAGCUGGACCCAUAGGGGUUUGGCCAACCCAAGGGGUGGCCCACUCGGGCCAUCUUCAUCCACCGCGUCGGUUUGUGUCUCUUUACCCCUGAUCUCCCUGAUUCAUGAGUUUGAAUGAAUUUUAAAUCUGAUCAACUAAUUCAAACUCAACUAAAAUGAAUCAACUGCUCCACCUGCUCUACAUGUUUUCUAUGGUUGGCUUGCAUAUGUUUUAUUUCAUGCUUAUCAUCUUGAUGCUUGUGAACAAAUAUCUUUAGGACAGCAUGCUCAUCUAAGUAGUUGAUGUGUAUGAUAUGGUUCGAUGAUAUGAUCUUCACUCUUAAUGCUUAAGUGCUUGGGAAAAUCUAUUUGAAAAUUUAAAAGCCUUUUUGAAAUCUCCUCUUUGAUGUGCCAAAGUCCUACCAAAGCCAUAUGAUAAGUUAUCUUGAAAAACCAUUUGCAUAUGUUGCUUGUCUUUGCAUUGAGCUUUGUCAAAUUGGUGUGACCCUUGUCACAAUUCUUUUCAUACUUUCAUGAUCAAGACUCAUGUGCACGCCAUAUACCCCUUGCUAUGCUUCUAUGAGAUGUUAGCAUUGUACCAUCCAUUCAUUCCACAAAAUAAAUGCUCCACCAUAUGUGUUGGUCUCCUUCUAAGAUUAUUGUUACAAAAGAGAUAUGGGCUAUCAAAAAAAAAUAUGAAUGUCCAAGAAAGUUGGACACAUGAAUGUCCAAUAAAAAGAAAAAGAAAGAUAGCCAUGUCCUCAGAAAUAUUUACAAAGGGAGAGAGAUCAUACAAAAAGGAGUUUCCAUUCCAUCCACCACAUCCAUACAUGUGCACAUCUUGAUCUGAUUGUAUGACUUAUUUUUCUCUUUGGAUCUGGUCUUUGACUUUGCAAUAUAUGUGAUGCAAGCAUGCCUUAUCCUUCAUAGCCUACCUUGAGCUCCACAUAUAGCCAUCAUUAGAAGUAGGAUGAAGAAAGGCAAGUCUAAUGCCUUGGUGAGGACAUAUACACAUUGAGUGAUCUGAGAGAAUCAAAUGAGGAGCUAAGCAAGGUUUUGUUUUGAAAACUAAUUGAAAAAUCCCAAGCUACUUGGCAUAAGGAGUUGAGGUGACUUGAUUCAAGACCAUUACAUUCCUCAACUACCCAAGAUGGCAUGAUAGACACUCCAAAGUUCACAAGUGCAGGUAUGGUUUGGAAUAUCUUUUAGGCUCGCUUCAUACCUUUGAAAGUUAUGUUUCACCUUAGUCCUUUCUCGUUCACUCAAGGAUAAGCAAAGGCUAAGUGUGGGGGUGUUGUUGAUGGCUCUUAAGUACAAAAUCUGCGCCAUCAACUCUUGCAUAAACACAUAAAAUAUGAGCAUCAACAAUAGUGGUAGGAGUUAUUACAAACGAAUUCCACAAGUCUUGGUGAAUAUUUGUAUGCAAGCCCAAUAGGAGAGAAAAGACACCUCAAAAGCAAGGAAACACACUCUCAACCAAUCAAGAGCAAGCACAUGGAACCAUGGGCCCACAACCAAAAGGAAAUCGACUACAUUCCAAACACCCUAUACCCACAUGAGAACCCAUAGGGCAGUGACCCAGAGCAAAGGUGAUGCCAGAGUGUAGAUGGUAGUUAGCAUGCCAAAUUUUGAACCGCAAGCGCUCGGAUUAGUUGUUUCUUUUCCCUUAGAGAUUCCCCCAAGGUUUAUCAAUCCAUGGAACAAGGGAUUUGCACGUUUCACUAAGCACUAAUCAAUGUAAUUGAAAGCUUUUCGAAUAAGAUAUGAUUAUGCUAACAAAGGAACUAAGCAAUCUAGAUUAAGAUGGAUAGAGAGUACAGGUUGUGAACAAGAUAGAUUAAACGCUUGUAGAUGCAAUCACCAUGCAUGAAUGAAUUAGAUCUAGGUGUUAUUGUGAGUGGUUGUGAACCAUGCCCAACACUUUCCCACCCGCAACAUUGUCACUACAUGUGGGUACUCAACUAUCGGAACAUAAGAACACAUCAAGAUGAUCAUUCUAGGUAAGCAAAUAAGCAACCCAAAGUAGCGCUGGCCAGCCUUUUCAUGAAAGAGCAUCAUCAAGAUAAGAUUGAUAACAAAAUAGAUCUCAACCAAAGGUUCAGCGAUUACAAAUCAAGAUCUUCGUAUAACCCCGAUGACAAAUAGAGGUAUUACCCCCAUGAUCUUACACAUGUUGAUGAAUUUUAGGGUAAAGGACACCCUGUAGAUCAACUGGACCAAAGAUGAUGAUGAACGGGGGCAGGGAAGGCCCAGGUUGAUCAGCCUGCGCACUUUUGAGCCGAUCAGCUCAGGGGGUUUCCUCCUCCCCUGGUGCUCCUCUUCGCGUGGCCUCCUCUGGAUCCAAUCUUCUCUUCAUUUCUCCUACUUGUGGCGGCAAUGGAUGGUGUUUGCAUGGUGAUUUCCUCUUCUCCCCAACUCUCCCUCCUUGAAGUCCAUGAGGGGGUAUUAAUAGUCUCCAAUAGGCGGCAGCUCUGGGUCAAUGUCAGUGAAAAAAUCCUAGAGAUCAUCGUACACUUCAUGCUGAGGAAACAAGAGGUUGACCGAGCCCUGGGAUAGACCAAGAGGAUCAUCCUAGAGGGUCCCAGGCUAAUCGGUCUAGGCCCUUCCUAGCCCUUCUAGUCCUCUCCUUCCUCGUGCUGGCUUUUCUCGAUGACCCUUGUCCAAAUAUCCAUGAAGCUCUAUAUACAUACCCCCUUGAUUAUGUUGUAUUUCCUGUCAAAAUACAAUGCUCCAAAAUACAACACAUAUGCAAUAAUAGGGUUAUUUCAGGUGCCAAUUGGUGGGUUAGUAUACGAAUAAGCAUGAAAAUACUGUUUAAAUGACACUAAAAGUGUGUCAAUAACGAGCACCAACAAUCCCCCCACGCUUAGAUCUUGCUCGUCCUCGAGCAAGUCUAGCGACUAAAAGAUCUUGAAUUAAACCUGAGCAAGCGAGUCAAGUACCUAGCCUUGAAACAAAAGAUUAGAGGAGCAGCAAAGAUAAUCAAAGUCUGGGUGUUCAAAGAUUUAUCUAAGCAAAGAUUCCCCUACAACUAUUAUUCAGAACCAAGUAACUUCAAAAAUCAACUACACUUAUUUUCUGGCUUUUUUCAGAGGGUUUUUCUUUCAUCAUAAAACAAUCUCCCUGCAACAAAAUUGAAAAAAGAAUUAUUUUCAAGGUGCUUACAUGUCGCUUAAAUGAAUGUUGGCUAUCCUACUUAUUUGCAAGCUCUCAUCUCUCAAAAUUCAUUCAAUUAUAUGGUGGAGUUUGGGUAAGGUUAGCUAGAAUCAACACGUAUAUUAUUGAAUUAAGAAAACCCUCUAACGGUGGCCUACCUUCCGAGCCAUUGAUCAUAAGAAUAUCCACAUAAUGUGAAGUUUUCAAGGAUGAGAAGAUAUAGAAUGGUGGACAUGUGCAAAGGCAAAGAAAUAUAGUGACUCUGAGGCACAAGCAAUGUCCUCGUCGUUGGAUUGCAUAUGGUUGUAAUGAAAAUAUGUUCCUUAAACAAGUCUAUCUUUUCUUUGCACCACUCUUGAUCUUCAUGACAGUAAAAACUCCUCCUUUAUUUCUUUCUCUCUUUUCCUAUUAUUUCUUUUUAUUUGUCUCAAUACUUUUAUUUCUUUAUUUCUUUAUUUUAAUCUCUUCUCUGAACCUCUUCUGAACACCACAUAAUAAAAAUAAGUUUUAGAUCCUUCCAGAGACCUUCCAGGAAUUUGCUACAUGAAAACCGAGGCAAGGAGACCCCAGGCCGAUUGGCCUAGCCACUCCUUUGCUCUCCUCUAGCUCUUCUUUCUGGUGAAGCUUCCUUAUCUUGUAUCUUUCCAAAAAUUUCAUAAAGCUCGACUAGAAACGGAACAGAUCUUCAUAUAAUGAGUUGUGUUCAAGGAAUUGGUAAUAAAAUUGAGAAAUUUGUGGUUCGGGUUUACGAAUUCAGUACAAAAAUAUGAUUGUUCCAAUGAAGAACUCUCAUUACUGAAUAUUGACGAGGCAAGCAUUCAAAGAUGGUAAAAAGGAUAUGAUCAAUUCUCAAAAUUAAAGCAAACCAAGAGAGAGCGAUCCUAAUUCAAUUCAAAGUGUCAAAUGUUGCUUAUGGUGGUAUGAAUAAAUAUUUUUAGGCAUUGGGUAGGAUAAAUAAAAACUCUCAACCUGGUUAAAAGAUAUUGAUCAAUCUUGUUUUUGCAGAGGUUUUAAAUAAAAAAUAAAAUUUUAAAUCACCUCCAAUUCAAAGCCUUACUCAUAAAUCAUAAUCAAAACUGAAGCACUUGAUCAUCAUAAAGCAUGGGUAUUGCAUAAACAAAUCGAUUACUAAAACUCCACAACUACGAUUUAGAAUUCAAGACAAUGCUCAUAAUCUAAAGUUGCAAAGAUAAAAUAAAAGACAACCAAGCCAAGGUAGACACUAAAAACACUUGCACGAUCCUUGAAUUUUAUUCAUGCUUCUUCUCACAAAGACGCUAAAGUAGCCAUGUAGGCCUAAGUCUUCCCAAAAGCUUAAGAAAACUACUACUUUAUCUACUUUUGGUUGAAAUAAAAAGACUAAUCUAGACUCUCACAUGAUUCGACUCGACCAAAUUAGAUCCAAAAACUCAUACGAGCGACGAUCUCCCCCCCCUCACGCUUAAAAUCUACGACCUCCUCGUCGUAGCCAUAUGGAGUACAAGGAAAAGAAGCUUGUAAACGCUCUAAUGACGCUACCCGCACUACUUGCACACGGGAUGGUUGCUGCUUCCUUCGCUUUGUUCUUCCUCAUGUUGCUGCACAUCCCGAAGAGCUUCCUCACGUUCCUCUGCAAGAACUUGAACUCGUCCUCCUGACGGCGAUCAUUAUCUUCUGCCUUUUGAUCCAGAGCUUGUAAGGCUUGCAUGAUGUCAUCGAACGCAUCGAAGAGGUAGUGGAUGUUCUUCCUGCAAGCUGUGGAACAUGUACGAUCAUGCUCCUCCGAUUCUGGCCCGUCGUCUUCUAGAUCCUUCUCUUUGCCCUUGUCUUGACGGUGGCUAUCUUGCUCCUUGCUCGCCUUCUUGCCUUCAGCCCAAUCCCAGUACGUGUUGUCAUCUUCUUCAUCGUCACGGCCUGCAGCACCCUAUGAUCCAUUGUCUAUCUUGUAUGAAAGAAUCAGAAGCUUGUUCUCCUCAGGGUGUCUUGCGCGGUGCAGCGUUUGCAAGUGCAAGACUUGCUAGUUCCUUUUACACAUUGUAAUGUUCAUUGCAUGCUCUAAUUGUUCUACAUUUGUAAUUUCUUGGUGAAGUUUGGUUACUGAUCCACUGUUUGAUUAACUCUUGGGCCCAAACACUGUACUACUUCUGAUUAGAUAUCUGUAUCUUGACUUUGACCAAAAAAAAUAUCCGGCAGUUUUUGCCAUUAAAGUUUCAUAAAUCAUCUUGCAAAAAUCGUACUAUACAACAAGGGACGGUUUAUUAUAAAAUAUACGUUCCCCUUAUCACAUGCCACUUCCACUCAAAAGGCAACGAAUCAGUUUUCAAUCCUGAGUGAGCAAUUUGCUUUUAUUACCGAUGCCUCCUAUUCCCUUGUGCACCAAGUUUAUUUUGGAUAGGGCUGCAAAAAACGACUAACCAGCUCGGAUUCUCCACCUGCAAAACCGCAUCUGCAGCAACCAACCCCACGCGGUGGAAAAAAAAACAAAACCUAGAAACCGGACGGGGGUGGAUGUGGGGCUCGGAGCCCAAGCAAAAAACGGAUCGGGAGCGCCGGAGCAGGCCAUCACCGGAUGUUAGAGAUAGAAAAUGGUUGAAGUUUGGAGUGGAAAUCAAACAAGCCUUGGAGCAAAGGAAAAAAAAAGAUCAAACCACUCAAGCAUUCAUUUGAUUUAGAAAAGAGAACAUUUGUUAAGGUGGGGAGUUGAAAUCAUCUUUUAAUUAGUUCCACGUAUCUGGUAUCAUUACAGUUGGUUUACUUGUGUAAGUAUAAGUAGCUCUGCCGAAGCCUUUGCUCCUAUAAUUUAGUAACUAGUACAAAUGGAUCAAUAGGAAAAUCAAGUUGCAAUCAUUUCUCAGCCAACCAAACCUAUGUAAAUCAAAUUAUUGUCCAUGCCCGGCAUGCACAGGUGCCUGCCAUGCAUGCAUUGUUGCUCCAUUGUAAUAACCAUUAUUGUCCAUCGAUGUUGCAGCGCAUGUGUGCACUGUGCAGACACCAAGCAUCGAGAUUAUGUACUAGUAAGGUGUUGAAAUAAUGGGCCUAGCCCAUAAGUAAUUUCAGAAUUUCAAAUAAAUCUCAAAGGCCCAUGUGGGCAAGAGGUGGAGUGGUGCAAGUCUUUAGUCCCACAUUGCUAGUCGAGGGGAGGGAUGACCAACUUAAAUAUGGAAGUUGUCUCCACUCCUCCAAGCUAUGUGUGAAGGGCGCGGGCGCGAGGCACUUGCGUGAAUGGUCCGCCGAAAUCUGGCCCCCCUUGCGGGGGCGCGGCUUCCUUUUGCCGUUUUAUUUUUUGGUUACUUGGUCGUUAAGUCAUGGAAUCCUAACCGGUUUAGAUCACGAUCGUGAAGGUUUUUGGGAAGCGCUCUGCGCGACUGCUCGAUCGCUUCUUCCGCUUCGUCAAGUUCUUCGUCGACUCCUUCACCACGGCUCGUCUACCUCUUCGUCGCUCGGGCCUCACUCGUCGUCGCGAACAACGUCAGGCUGCUGAUCGUCGUCGCCUGCUGUAUCCGGUAGUCGUCCAGGAGCCGGUUUUCAUCAAGAAAGAAACGUACGGUCUCUUAACUCACAUUAUGUCUUCCAUACUAGCUAUUAUGAUUGUUGCAGUCUGAUAGCUCUGGAUAGUAUGGUAGAAUGUCUGAUUCUAUUUGCAAUGAUAGACUUGUCUAGAUCUUGCGUAGACAUGUCUAGUUUAAUCUGCUGCUUGUUCAUCAUAUUCAUGAUUUAUUUCUGGAUUAAGUUAAAACUAAAAGUGCUUAUAUAUCCAACAUAAGGUACCAAGAACACGUGAAGCACCCGGGGGAGGCUGCUCCACUCCGCAUGCACAGGUGGGCACGGCACCACUACUCGUCUCCUUCAGGCUGAGGAUAAGUGAUGUACGCUGAUCAACAGACCACGACGGAACCAGCAAUAAUAGUUUCAGCCUGCCUCACAGUAAUUAAUAUAUCCUGUAUCCUCCGAGGACCCCUCCCCUUAAUCUUGGCCUAUUGCAUCCAAUAAUGAUAUGUGUGUUUAUCCAAAUUUACGGCACCUUUGGCGGGGGUUCCACCCAGCUCCGCCCUCUCCACCUUCGGUACUCCAUGGGAAACCAUUCCUUUGGAAUCAAGGAAGCUUGAACAGUAUAACGAAUAAAGUUUCAUAUAUCCAUUUGAUUUCACAUGAAAUAAAAUAUUCUGUCAGAACCAAUGGUUUCACUGAAGCUCCAGGCAGCGAGCGAAGGGGUGAGAGAGGAUAACGCUUACUGUGUGUUACCAUCGCGUGCACCAUGGAUGACCAACGCGCAGCCGAGAUGAAACGGCGGACCUAAACAGGUCCUCGCUAUUUUUGCAGGUUCUCGACCAGGCCAGUUCUUUAGGCCAACCUAUCAUUCACGAGUUAAACAUACGGUGGCUGGAGAAAUGUUCUAUUCUUUUAAACAAUACCAGCUGGUUCCUCCGUUUUUAUUCCACCAAUACAAGCACCACCUUGUAACAUUUCCUAUGUUUUUUUUCCUUUCGUCUGUUUUCUCACUACAUGCGUUGCUCUUUCAUGCAUUUUUUUCCAUUCCUGUAUUCCAAAUAGGUCUACAUGAACACAAAAUGAACUAGGGGACAGAAAAAGCCAGUGAAGUUAGUUUUGAGCUUCACCAGCUACUUGCUACAUAAAGUGUGCUAUAGUCGCAGAAAAGCUAAGCUGGAUCAGACGUGGCCGAAACAAUGCCAAAGAGCUAGGUCCCUAGCUGAUGGCAACACAUCAGAUGACUAGCCUGCUUUUCUGUAAUAAUGAUAUUGAGCAAUACACUGCAUGGCUAACCUGCUUUACAAUAAUUGUCAUUUUAUAAUAUUGGUCAUCACGAGAGAUGCACAUUGCAUACACCGGCCCAUCCCUAUAAAUAGCCAAGCCUUUCAGCCAUCUUGGGCACCUCCUCUCAGGGCCUCGUCUCACCAUCAGACAUCUCGUUCCCAGUUAUAAUUUGCGAGGUUAGAUCAGGCUGCGCCAUGGCGUCCGCAACUGCUGUCAAGAUCGUCGCCACCUUCAUGCUGGUGCUGACCAUGGGCCACCUGAUGGCCGAAGCAUCACCGCAGCCUCGGCGUGUGCUUGCAGAAACGGAGCAUGCUGCGGUGUCCGGGAAUCCUGGCCUCCCAGGUGAUGCUAGCGUCAUGCAGGUCCUCGAACCCGCCCUAGUUUCUCGGCUUGCCUGCAAACCAGAGUGCACAGUCCCUUGGCCUCCUUUUGUAUGUAUCUGCUAGAUCCUCUUCCUGGCUCAACGGAACUUCAGGGAAAUGGCUGUGACGUCGGCCAAAGAAUAAAUUGGAUGAACAUAAUAUACCCCGGGUAGUGUAGCUUGGGCUUUUGUUGAGCGUCUGGUGCUAGUUGUAUUUUGUUUGCUCAUGUGGCUUUGCUUCUGGUUGCAUAUUGGCUUUCCUAUCGCUCUCUGUUGCAGCUAUGGUUUCUGCCAGGUGUGUGUUAAUGCGGUUUGUAAGCGGUGCUUGUUCCUACCUUCUGUUUUCAAUAAAAGAAGUCGGAGUCUCCCUCCGACUCUUGUUAUCAGUCAACAAAAAUGAGUUGUAUCAUAUAUAUCUGCGUCUUUUUUCUACGUAUCUUUGGGCUGCUUCAGCUGGAAGUUUAUCGUAAGUACGUGUAUCAGGAUGAUCGUUUGAAUUAAAACGAAAUGAUAAUGUGUGGCUGCUAGAAAUGGAAUGAGCAUCUUACUAUAUUACUAAUUGGAAGCCUCCACGUGAAGCCACCUAGAAAUUCUAGGUGGACGUUUUAAAAAAAACAAAACUCAUAGAAGCCUCCACCACCUAGGAAUCCUAGGUGGACACUCUAAAAAGAGACAAAUCCUAGAAAUUCUAAAAAAAGAAAAAAAUAAUAACAAUAAGAUUUUUUUGCAGUCAAUUACAUAUAUUUUUUUGAGACACCGUGCUGCUAGCUCUUGCCAUUGCGACCAGUAAAGCAAGCAGAUAGUAAGAUGACAUGCGUGUGGAUUGAUUAAAACAAAUUCAGUUAGUUGAUUCUAAAUCGUAUGUAUCCUAAAAGGAAGAUAUGUGCGUGCAUGGUCCCUAGCGAUGACAUGUAGACAUGUAUUGCAAUUUCUUUUUUAAAAAACAUGUCUAUCUCUAAACCAACAAACAGAAAAAAUAUCAAUCUAAAUCUAAAUCUCUUCCGUUCUCACACGCCUAUUAAAGAGAAGACAACCAAUCCCAUCCAUGUUCCAUAGAAUCCAUCUAAAAGCUUGCUCACUGCGGACGGCAUUUGACGGCAAAUCAAUGAAAGAUCAUCCUCUCCAAAUAGCUGGACGGCAUCACCAUCUUUAUCUCACCAACCUACAGAGCUACAACGAUGUUGUAGAGAUCAACUAGGUAACCUACCAAUCACCCUCCCCUUUUCUAUAUGCUCUAAAGAACACGUGGAGUAAUUAUAGGCCUAUAGGAGCCGACUAACCUAGAUUAAUAUGAAAAAUAUUCCAAUAUUAAAAGCAAGCAGAUAGUAAUACUUGCCUUUGACCAUUUUUCUAGAACUGUUAUUCCUAUUGAAUGUUCAAGUGCUACGGCCAGGCAUCGAAUGCCUGCACGGAACCUUCCUAUUGAAUGGUUACUCUAGAGAUCAACGCACCGCGAGACAUUUUUAUGGAAUUUGUUUGAUUCCCCUUCUACAAUUAGAUUAAUUUUUCAUGGCAUAUAUUACUACUAUUAAAUUAUUUGUUUAUUGUCGGGCCUGCUGCAUGUGUGGUAUAUAUGACUUGCUUCUCACCAUUGUUCUCAAACUAUUAUUCCUAUCGAAUCUUUCUAUCGAAAUAUAUUUUAAUUACUUGAUUGUUGUUUGUGUACCAUAACUUCUGUAUAGAAAAAUUCCAUGUUUGUAGAUAAUGUCUUUUGUAUAGAAAAAUAGCCCAAUUAGAUCCAUCACCAUCUUUUGCUUAUGUAGUUGAACAAGUUGCAAUGUUGAACAAAACUUUAAGUGAAAUUAGACCAGGAAAAGGAAUUGUGGAACAUUAAGGCAAGGGUAACCAGAUUGUGGAAUGCAACCUUACUCAGUAGUGGCGAACAAUUAAGUCUUGACAUGAUCCUUAUUGAUCAAAAGGUAUGAUAGAUGUUCACUUUGAUUGCAUUAUUGGUAUAAUUUUUGGUUUACAAAUUAUUAAUGAUGAUGCAAAAUUAGGGAACCAUGAUCCACGGUGUUAUCAAUAAGCCCUAUAUGAAAAAGUUCAAACCAUUGAUUGAAGAAGGCAAUGUGUACAUAAUUGCAAAUGUCAGAAUCACACCAGAACCACAGAAGUAUCGGCCAGUGGAAAAUGACAGGAUAGUCAACUUCUUACCCACAACUGCACUAAAAACGAUCAAAGAUACUGAAGACAUUCCAAAGUAUAGUUUUAACUUCAUGAGCACGGAUAUGCUUUCAGCAAGAAUAAAUGUGGACAUGUACCUAUUAGGUAAAACAUUACUGGCUUUUCAAUUUUUACACUUCCACUCAUUAAAUGACCAUCUAAUAAUAAUACAUAUUUAUGUUUCAUAGAUGUUAUAGGUAUCUCAGCUCACAUUGGACCGAUAGAAGAAACAAGGACAAACUUCGGAUUUACUAAAAUCCGUGAUAUUGUGCUCCUGAUCGAGUAAUUCUCUUUUCUUUUGUAGAAAACAACUACAAAACUUUCAACAUUUACAUGUAUGUUAUAGAACUUCUGUUGAACUAAAAAAUAUCUUCUACAGUGCCCCUACAAAUAAUUAAUUUCGUAGUUGGAUAUUUAAAAUAUUUAUUAUUCACUUUUAAAUUUGUGGCCAUGAAGUUAAAGUUAGAUUUUGGGGAGACAAAGUUGAGGAAGUUGAUGAUAAGACAAAAUCCCAUGUCAUUGCAAUAACAUCUACAACUGUGAGUAAAUUUGGCAGUAAGUCUUCAUUCAAUAUGAGUUAUUCAAUAUUAGUCAUUCAACAAACUAACCUCGUAAGAAAAAUAAAUAAUUGAUGUUUUAUCAGGGUAUUCUCUAUCGUCAACCAAUGCAACAAAACUUUAUGUAGAUCUACCUAUUCCUGAAACUAAGGAUGCACAUGAUAGGUGAGAAAAAUUAGAUAUUGUUUUUCUAUUUUAAUCUAUGUAGCAUGCACUCUAACAUGAUACAUUCUUUCAUAUGAUAAAAAAAUGUUAGUUCAAUUGAAAAUAUUGUCAAAGAGAUUCAUAUUGAGGACCAUCUAAAAGGGACAUUGGAAGACCAAAUGCAGUACAAUAGAAGAACUUUAGAAGAAUUAAAUUUCAUAUUAUUUGAAACAUCAAAUCAGGUAUGGAUUAGUAUGUUCAUUGUACACUAUACUAUUUAAAGACUUACAUACAUAAUGAUGGUAUUGUUCCUACUUUCAGGAUGAGGUAUUUACUAUUGAAGCAACAAUAAAUGAAAUUAAUGCAACAUAUGGUUGGUUGUCACACCCGAUUUUAAGGACAAAAUUGAGUGCAUUAAAUACAUGUGCACCAGGAUCAAGUUACACACAUCCUAUGAGUACCGUCCUUCUUUGGCACAAAGAUAACCGGUGCUCCCCAUGGUGAUGAACUAGGCCGAAUAAACUAUUUUGCUGAUAAUUCCUCUAGUUGUUGUUUCAAUUCUUUUAAUUGUUCAACCAACAUUCUAUAAGGACGUUUGGAGAUAGGUGCAGUACCAGGUAAAAGAUCAAUAGCAAAUUCAAUGUCGCGGUCAGGUGGCAUACCUGGUAAAUCGUCGGGGAACACAUCCGGAUAGUCACACACCACUUUGAUAUCUUCCAAGGAUUUUCCAGCCAACUGAUUAACUGCACAAUCUGCUGCUGAGGGUAGAGUAGCUACAAACUCCACUUUCUCUCCAUCAGGACCUGUUAGCAGAACUGUCCUCUUGGCACACUGAAUCGUUGCAUCAAAAGCGGCUAACCACCUCAUCCCCAGAAUUACAUCGAUUCCACUGGACUCAAGGACGAUAAGAUCAGCCGGAAACUCUAUACCCAUUAUUCUCAGUUUAACUUGUGGACAGAUGUAUUGAGCCUUCAUUGACCCCCCAGGUGAACUCACUAGCAUAUGACGCCUCAUGGUAUGCAUGGGUAAAUUAUGCUUUGCUACAUAAUGACUAGUGACAAAAGAAUGCGAUGCUCCAGAGUCAAAUAAAACUGAUGCGGGGGCAGAGUUGACAAAGAACAUACCAAGCACUACAUCUGGAGCCUCCUUAGCAGUCUCGGCUUCCAUGUGGUUCACCUUGCCACAAACAAAGCUUUGCUGCCCCUGAUUGCCUUGUGGGGUCUGGUUCCCAUUCCUCGGUUGCUGCAUCUGAUUCUGCCGAGGAGCACUGCUGUUCUGCACGGGGGUAGCUGGCCCACCUCUCUUAGGACAAGAGCUGGCAUAGUGACCAACCUCGCCACACUUGAAGCAGGUAGGACCCACUGGAGCAUUGGGCCUUGUUGGAGUGCCAGUAGGGGUCAUCUGGCGGUUCUGCGUAAAGCUUGGGCGCGGAGUCUGCAUAGUCUGCAUCCCUGGAUGCUGGAACUGAGGGCUAGGGCGCUGGAAUGACUGCUGAGCAGGGCGCGGAAAUGAGUGCUGCCAAAAAUUCCCACUCGGGCCCCCUGCGCGGAACGGCGUCCCUUGCUGUGGAGCAAAGCGAGGGCGGGUGUUGCUUCCUGAAGACUACUGGGAAUUGAAUUUCCUCUUCAUCUCCCCGAGCUCGUUCCUCUUGUGUUCCAGGCCAAUUGCCUUGUCUAGCAUCUUCUGGAAACUGGGGAAGGUGUGCGACAUAAGCUGAUAUUGGAGUGGUCCAAUCAACCCAUCCAAGAAUAGCUCCUGCUUCUGCUCAUCAUCAGCAACAUCUUCGGGAGCAUAUCGGGACAACUGGACAAACUUGUCCCUGUACUCUGCCACUGUCAUGUUCCCCUGCUUGAGAGCAAGGAACUCCUUCUUCUUAAGCUUCAUCAAUCCGGAAGGAAUAUGAUGACUUCUGAAGCUAGUCCUGAAUUCAUCCCAGGUGAUGCCAUUAGCAUUGGCAUGGGUGGUGGUGUAAGCAUCCCACCAAUCAGCAGCUGGCCCUUCCAGGCGUCCUGAAGCAUACAGGACCUUCUCCCUGUCAGUACAUUGGGCGAUAUCCAGCAUCUUCUCCACUGUUUUCAGCCAAUCAUCAGCAUCUAAUGGAUCCGGAGAAUGUGAAAACGUCGGGGGCUUGUGGCUCAUGAACUCCCUAUGCCUGUCCCUUGGCGGCGGCUGCUGCUGGUUGUUGUUGUUGUUAUUGUUCAGCUGAGCUUGUAAAGCUGCCACGGUGUUGGUCAGUCCGGCGAGAAGCUGAGUCUGAGCUGCUAGAAACUGCUCCAUCCCUGCAGGUGCUUGUUGGUUCUGUUGCGGAGCGGUGUUGGGAUUGCUGCUGUUGUCCCUGUGGCGUGGCACUGUGGGACGGUCAACUCCUGAUCCGGACCUGGUGUUUACCAUCUGAGCGUUAGAGACAAUGGAUUUAGAUAGAUGUGUGAAAGAAUAACUGAGAAAGAUAAAGCGACCAGAUGUAAAAGUAACACAGAUUCUGUUAGCUCCAUUUAAUUAGGUGUGGUCGUCAGAAGAAGUGUCCAUAAAUUCUGAACAAUUACCAAGUCGUAACUUAUUAAAUUUGUAAACCAACCCAACUGGAAUCAUCUCAAUCGGACUUCUGGAUCUCGAGUUACAAAAUUAACAAGCUGACAGUGUCGGUCGAUAGGUUCAGAUUCUGAGUGCUUUACUAAUUCGCAUACACCUCCCAGACAGAUACACCAAAAAUUCUGAAAAAUUUACAGAUAGUACUCCACGAAAUUCUGAAACUAACCCCACUGGUUUCAUGUCAUUUGGACUUCUGUAGCUAGAGAUAUAAAUAAAAAAGUACUGGCGUGUCAGUUAAUGUCGAGAACAGAAUUGAAUGUCGCUUAGCUUGCGUGAUGGAUAGAUUUAGACAGAUGGUAGAUCAUGAUUAAGGAAGAUUAAAUACUGAUUUAGAACAGAAAUAAAACCCAACUAAGCACUUUAUUUAUUAAGACCAGUAUCGUGUGGCAAUUGCCCCACAUACCGCACUCAUUACAAAAUCCAACUCAAACAUGUAGCACAAAACCAAUCAUCUAAGCACACUUUAACUAACACACUCGAACGACGUCUAACGAUUACAAGAAUUUAAACUAAAACACUCCUAAUUUCCUAGAGGUCUUCUGCGGCGGUGCCGGGCGAGUCGUAGCGGGGACGCUUAGGCGACGGCGACGAAGCGGGAUGAACAGCAAACUCCUGCGGCGGCGGUGCUCCCGUCGCGGCAGCCAUAUUCGCAUCCCUCUCCCACCGGAGUUCCUGAACCUCCUGUUGAAGCUCCUGGAUGUGGUUGUUUGCUUCAUUCAAUGCGGUGAGAGCUGCCGACGUGUACUUGCGGAGGAAGUCUGUAGCCAUGUCAACCCCAUCGUUAGUAGCGAUGAAGGUUCUUGCUUCCCCACUAGCUCGGUAAGGAAGGAACCGAUGGUAAGUGUGCUGCAAUCGCGGCCGUUCCUUGUGGGAGACGACCUCAAGUGCCCUCCUGGCGGCCUCGGCAAUGCCGGAUUCCAUGGUCCUCCUUAUGGUCACAUCAUGGUGAAAAGCCUUCACCUCCCAUCCUCCCUCGUGCUCCUCACGAAGGACAACCUUCACCUCCCAAAAAGUGGGAUAGCGAGGGUGGGUGAACCGGGAGCACUUGUAGAGUGGCCUCAUGCCGUACCCCAAGCGGUGACAAGUCCACCUGAGUAUGUCGGCCAUGUGCACUCCUUGGCCAUAAUCUUCCUUCACCCAUUUGAUCCAUGUCUCGGGCUCGGGAUCUGCUUCGGGCUCAUCAUCCGUCAAGUCGACGACCGGUACGGGCGUCGGGGCUGGUGCAGGAGCGGGCGCCGGUGCUGGCGACGGUGCUGGUGACGGCGUGGUCUCCUGCUCCACGGUCACGGCGUCCCCGUCAGAGUCAUCCCCCGGAUGCUGGAAGAUCUCUUCCUCUUCUUCCUCGUCCCAAGGCUCCAUGGGGGCGUACGACGGCGCGAUGCCAUGACGCGGCGGACGGGUGCUCUUGCGUGCGGUCAACCGGGUGCGAGCCAUCUAACAGAAAGAAAGAAGAAAAUUUUAGAAUAAAAUUUUGAACAAAGCUAGAUAAUAAAAUAGCAAUAAGGAUGAGACAAAUCAAGUUUAAGAAUAAUUAAGUAGAUUUAAAUUAAGAAAGGUAGGAAUGGCUACUAGAUUAUUAUAAUCCUUAAAUACGACCAUUUUCUAACUAGGCUAACGUCCUACAGUCAACACGGCUCUGGUACCACUUUUGUCACACCCGAUUUUAAGGACAAAAUCGAGUGCAUUAAAUACAUGUGCGCCAGGAUCAAGUUACACACAUGUACGACAAUAGUGAAUAGUAAAGCCAGUGCUAAAUCGAAUAAAGAGAGUAUUAACCAUUAUUACAUGACCGAAUGUCUCAAAUAAACCACAAAGUCUAAUUAUUACGCAGCGGAACUCCAAAGAUGACGACGACUCCAUAGGCAGCUGACUGAAGAAACGUACGCCUAGAACUCCUCGAAGUCGUGGAAGUACUCCUCUUCCCAAUUAACUUGGUCUGAACAGCGGUUUUGCAAGGGUGAGUACACUUAUGGUUGGUACUCAACAAGUCGUGGGAAGUAGUGUAGUGUAAGGCUAAUUCAAGGUAUGGCUAAGGCGUAAAUAGCAUUCGCUUUUAAUUAAGUUGGUCAAAUUUUAUUAGCAUUUACUAAGUAUAAGUUCAUACCACCCGAAAUUAAACAUGAACAUAAAGUAAACCACAUGUGCAUGAAAUGAUAACAAAUUAAAUCCAUCUUCCGAUAAUAUUAUCAUGUGAGGGUCCAGGCCGCUCUUAACCGUGAGCACGGCUGAUUGAUCAGUUUAACACUCUGCAGAGGUGGCACAUCUUUACCCACAAGUCGCGUAAAAGUUCAAAAGAACUUUGGACCCAACCAUGCGGUGUUUGCAAGGCACCAUACCACACUUCCGAGGUGUGAUUGCAUAGGGACGCUACGAGGCCUUUACAAAGAUUCAUUAAUCAGUGGUAACCCGCUAAGGUUUCGGUGUCUGGCGUGCACCACCCAUCCCAGGUAAAAUGCAACGACUCAGUCCCCCCCCUUGAAUCAUCACGAGUAAGGUCACCCCAGACUAAGGUUUCUAAUUAAUCAGCCAAGACCAGAGCUAUUUAGUCUUGUGGUAGCACUGUUUUCCUGGGUGGUCGCUCCAUGUUCUGAUUAACAAAUAAUGAUCUUGUCUUAAUGAAAGGUAUAACAGAAAUAAGGCAAGAUUAAGCAUUGUUUUUAGUUAAACCACCAUGUACCAAGUAAGCACUAAGCAUGAGCUACCCAACAUAAAGUAAACCGGUUGGUCAAGGCAAAGGUAAAACAAUCUAGGCCAACCUUAAUUGGGACCCAUCAAUUUAAUCUUAAUAUGUGCACAGCAUAAAUGUUGAGUACGAGAAAGUAAAGGUGUAUAGGACAAAAAGGUAGUGAUCAAGGACACGACUUGCCUUCUUGGCCUUGCUCCUGCUGUUCGUACUCCUCGAAGGCUUGAUCGGCAACUCCCUCGAACUGCGGGGCGUCUACACGCAUCACACGAGCACAUACAAGCAAACAUGGGCAAAAGUAAGAAAACAGUAUACCAAACAUAGUCAAACAGAGAAAACAAGCUUGAAAAGAUGAUCUACGCUUUAAAACGAACACGCGGAUAUAAAGAACGCGAAAAACGGAGUUAAGAUGCAAAAGAUAUGAUUAAAACAAAAUCCAGGGACUUUUCUGUAAGAAAAACAAAACUUUUAGGGCCUAUCCGCGAAAACCGAGGGCUUAUACGUAAUUAUGCGUAUAAACCGAGGGUCUGAUGCGUAAAAACAUCAAACCCGGACGGCGGGUUGAUUUCUGGAAAGGUCAAGGGUUAAACCGAAAAAUGCGAGGGCAGAUCUGUAAAUACUUUCAACGCGAUCUGGACCGCGGGUUGAUUUGCGAAAAAGGCGGGGGCUAAAGUGCAAAAACUGCACGGCGCGGCUCGGUUGACCGGUACGCGAUCUUGAUUGACUCGCGUCCGGCCGUCGGAUUAAGAUCCGACGGUCGCGGUGAUCCGCGACAUCGCGGCGGCGGCGGCGAGCGGCGGCGAGCGGCGGCAAGCGGCGGCGGGUCGCCGGAGUUAGGCAAAAUAGCGCCACGAGGCACGGUUUAACGCGCGGGUUGCACCAAAAAAGAGAGGGGAACACGUCGAUCCCGUUUUGGGGGUUCUUGUCGACGGGGGCUCACCGGCGACGGCGAACGGCGGCGAGGAAGAGGCGGCGGCGCUAGGAGCUCGGGCGGCUAGGGUUUCGGGGAGCUGCGGCGCUGGUUUUGGGCGGAGGAGACUGGGAGGAGGCGGCGGCUUUUAUAGGGCUUGGAGAUAGAGCCGGCGCGGGUUCAAAUCCCCCGGAGGAGUCGGAGCGGAUGGAGUCCGGGGCGGAGACGGCGCGCGGCGGUUGCGGAGUUCUGACCGGAUUCGGCCGGAGGUGGGAGACGAUGGGUGGGGUCCACCCGUCAGUGGCGGAGGGGAGCGGUAGACGGGCCGGCGCGACCGUGGGCUGGCGCGCGCUCGUGGGCUGCGGGGAGCGGGAGAGAAGCGGCGAGCGGGCGCUGGCGGAGCAGGCCGAGCGGAGGUAGAGCUGGGCCGCGGAGAAAAAGGAGGAGGCCGGCGGGCUGCUUCGCAGGCCGGUAAGGAUGAGGCGGCCGGGCCGAAGAAGAAAAAGAAAAGGAGGGACAAGGAGCUUUCGGCCGAGGGAAAAGAAGAAGAAAAAGAAAAGGAAGAAGAAAAGGGAAAAGGUUUUGGAAUUUGAAUUUAAAUCUGAAAUUCAAAAUUUGAUUCAAACUCAAGCAACCAAAAAUUAUGCUCCAGCAUGAAUGCACAAAUAAUUCCUAUGAUGAAUUAAUUGAAUUAAAGAAAAUGAAUUUAAAUGCCUAGAAAUUAAAUAACACCCUAAUUUGAGCAAAUUUUAAUGAAUUUGAAUUAUUGAAAUUUUGGGUGUUACAUUGGUACUACAUCUCAUGUAGUAGAGGCGAUUGUAAGAAGCAACUUGAAAAGAAGUUUGAUCACUACUAUUGCAAUAAAUGUGACAAGAGAGCCGAACCUAAAGCCCAGUAAAUUAUUUAGUAGUUUACAAUCUUAUUAUAAUACUUCUAUUUCUAAUAGGAGAAUAAUAUUUUCAGAUUCAAAUUAAGCUUCAAAUAAGUGAUCCAACAACAAGUGCAACUUGUGUACUUUUGACAAGGAAGCAGAAAUGAUAAUUAAUGAAUGAGCAGAUUCGAUGAUCACCUCAGUUGAUCAUGAUAAUAAGUAGCUACCAAAAUCAAUUCAGGAAAUAUGUGAAGAAACAUUGAUUUCUCAAUUCAGAUUGACCGAGUACAACUUGACAAGUUUUAGACCUGAUUAUACUGUUUCAAAGAUAUUUUUUCCAAAAGAAAAGGGCAGUUCAAGAAUUGGUAUGGAAAGUGUAAAAAAGGUAACACUUUAUUAUUAAUUUUUUAUUGCACUUUUUUCUUUUGAAUCCGUAAUACUUAAUAAUUUUACUAUAUCAAUGAAACAAAUUCUAACCUAAAUUUAUUUUCUUUUUUAUUAUUUGUAGGAAGUAGAAGACAACUCAGACAAAUGCUACACGAUAACUACCGAGAAUGAAGAGGUAGACACUGAUGACUCUUUUACCGAGAAAGUAACAUUCGUAGAAGAAGCCAUAAGGACUGGGGAAAGAUUGGCUAGAAAAGUAUACUCACUUCCAUGUCAGUGUUCAUUCUAUUUACAAUACAUGCAAAAAAAAUAUUAUUCAUGCAAAAUUGCAGGUCUACUAAGCAUUAAAGGAAUAGCGGAUAGUGCAAUAUGUAAUCUGAGCAGCAUGCAUUACAAAGUGCUCUACUGCAAUUAAAUUAAAAAACAUGAUAUAUGUUGAAUUCUUAGACUUUAUUAUUAUACUUUUCUACGUGACAAUUCACAAUUUUUUAGAAAAAAGAAGAUCCCAGAAGAAGUGACCAUGAAAAAAGGUCUAUGACCAGCAAUAAGAAAAAAUGCAAGCAUAGAAACAAAUCCGUAGAAAACAUAGAAAAUAAGGUACUCCAUAAACAAAAGUAUUCUCUUAUAUUUUUAUUAAAUAUUUUUUUAACACUUGACAAGUUCUUUUUUAGGAUCAAUAUAUCAGCAAUUCAGAUGUCAUUGGAGAUGAAACCUUAGUUCAUCCAAAAGGUCAAAAAAAAACAUCUGAAGAAAGGUGUUUGGCUGAAAAGGAAAAGCAAAAAAGUGGUAAUGCAGACAAACACAUGCAGAAAAAUAUAAAAACAUGUCAUAGGGAGGCAGACCAAUCUUGCAAGGAGGUAUAGACGAAACGUGAUACACGACCUGCCUACCUUGUCGUGGAUACCCCAAGAAGAUGUCAUAGAGGUGCAGACCAAGCUAGCAAGGAGGUCGAAACGUGAUACACGGCCUGCCUACCUUGCCGUGGAUAUUAGCCCUGAGAUCAUUCUACUGUUCAAGGAAUAACACUCAAUGCUGCUGCUGCUGCUGACCUGGCUCCAUAAAGUUAUACUCCUCUAGGUGCUUGCACUAACUUUAUCUGAAGUAUUAUUCUCUCUGCACUGUAUAUAUGGUUAUGGAGUUUGCUGGAGUAUCCGGGGCGAAGAACCUACAUAAUACGUCUUGGAACUAAUUGACAUUGAUUCACAGACAAACUCUACAAGGUGCUGUUCUUGCCAUUUUAGAGCAUCCAAAGGACUAUAAAUAACAUAGUUUACCAUAUACCAUAUACCAUAUACCAUAAUAUGUUAGCUAAAAUAAGAGCAUACACAUGUUGCAGGAGUCCAAAAGCACCGGUUGAGGACCAGGUACAUUGAAUUACUAGAAAAAGACAGGGGACAAGGUUUAGGUAACCACAUGAAACAUUUGAAUUUAUUGUACUAUGAACACUUAGUUACCAUGCCAGGAGCACAUAGUUAACACUAACAUUUAGCCACUUUAGAUCAUCCCGAAUCACCAAUGACCCUCAAUAGUGACAAAUUUUGGUUUAAAUGCCAUCACCAAUGAUCCUCAAUAGUGACGUAUUUAGGUUUAAAUCCCGUCACUAAUAACCCUCAAUAGUGACCUGUUUUGGUUUAAAUCUCAUUACCACUGAUCCUCAAUAGUGAUGUGUUUUAGCAAAACAUGUUAUCAAUGACUUGUCAUUGGUGACGUGUUAAAACGCGUUAUCUCAAUGGCAAAUCAUUGGUGACGUGUUAUCUCAAUGUUAUCAAUGUUCUAUUCUUUUCAACAAUACCAGCUCGUUCCUCCGUUUUUAUUCCACCAAUACAAGCACCACCUUGUAACAUUUCCUAUGUUUUUUUUCCUUUUGUCUGUUUUCUCACUACAUGCGUUGCUCUUUCAUGCAUUUUUUUCCAUUCCUGUAUUCCAAAUAGGUCUACAUGAACACAAAAUGAACUAGGGGACAGAAAAAGCCAGUGAAGCCAAUUUUGAGCUUCACCAGCUACUUGCUACAUAAAGUGUGCUAUAGUGACGUGUUUUAGCAAAACAUGUUAUCAAUGACUUGUCAUUGGUGACGUGUUAAAACGCGUUAUCUCACUGGCAAAUCAUUGGUGACGUGUUUUAAAAAAACAUGUCACCGUGAGAGUCAUUGGUGAAGGGUAAUUAAAAUGCGUCACUAAUGUUGUAGCAUUAGUUAUGAUAAUUUAGUAACGCAAAAAUCUACCAUCAGUAUUGAGCUUUAGAGCCAUCGCUAAUGUGGGUUUCUUACAUAGUGAUGCAAGCUCUACAAGGUGCUGUUGCUGCCAUUUUAAAGCAUCCCAUGACUACAUGUUAAUAACAUAGUUUACCAUAUAUCAUAAAAAUAUUAGUUACAAUAAGCACAUACGCAUGUGGAAGAGUCCGAAUGCACCGGUUGAGGACUAAACACAUUGAAUUACUAGAACCAAAUGUAUGUUUAGAACAAAGACAGGGGUCAAGGUUUGGGUAACCGCAUUAAAAACAUUGGAUUUUACUGUACAUGAACACUUAGUUACCAUUACCAUGCCUUGAGCACCUAGUUACAACAAACAUUAAUUUAGCCACUUUAGAGCUUCCAGAAUCGCUAUAAAUAAUAUACCUACGCCGUACCAUGAAAACAUCAAGAAGAGAGACGGAUACAUGGACCACCAUCAAGCGAGUAGUGACAGCACGCACAAGAAUACCCGGAACCUGUUAGCUUGUCUGUAGUGAUCUGUUUUCUUCCCCAUAAAAUCCAUGAGUAUUGCCACAAAUAAUGAAAGAGGCUGACCAAGCUAGCAAGGAGGUAGAGCAAACGUGAUACACGGCCUGCCAAGAUUGCCCUGGAUACGCCAAUAAGAGCGACAGAUACAUGGAUCACACCAAUAUGGUGAAACGUAUAUUCAUCACACAAGCAAAGCUGGUCAGUUUAUCCAUGGUCAAAUUGUGGUCUUUGUUUUCACUUGAGAGCUAAUUGAGGCACUAUAAUAUGGGCAGGCCUAUCUUCAACAGACAUGACAGCUACAGGGAACUUGACAUAAUUUGCUGGGCCGCCUGUGCACAAUUAUUUGUUUUAUUGUCCUUGCAUAGAAUGCUAAAAUACUCUUUACAAAAUGUUGGAUCUAAUAUUUGAAAUAUAGAGUAGUAAUCAUAUAUUGAUCAACAACUUGAAAUUAUCUGUACAUUCUCGGUGAAGCUGUUGAACUAAUUUUUGCAAAUUAUUAAUUCAUCUCAUUACGUAAAGAAAAAAGUAAGUGGAUAAGAUAUUUCGUGGACCACAUCACUGCAAACAUGUCAUGGAGAGACAGACCAAGGAGGCAGGACGUGAUACACGACUUACCCUAGGUUGCCGUGGAACCGCCAAGAAGAGAUACAGAUACAUGGACCACACCAUCUUGGGAGUAGUGACAGCAUAUAUGCAGAAGAAUACCCCGUGCCUAUUUGCAUGCAUGUCUCAAGUGAUCUGUUUUCUUCAGAAAAUACAUGAGCAUUGCCAGAAAGAAUGGCAAGAGACAAACAUGUCAUAGAGACUUGCAUGUCUUGCCUUGGAUACGCCAAGAAGAGGGACACAUACAUGGAUAACACAAAUCUAGUGACACGUAUAUUCAUCACAAAGGCAAAUCUGAUAAUUUUAUCCAUGGAGCAGACCAAGGAGAAAUUGAUGACGGACAUGUGAUCUCUGUAUUCAGUUGAAAGCUAAUUGAGCUACACUAAUAUGAGCAGGACUAUAUUCAAGAGACUUGUUGAGAGCUACAGGGAACUUGUAAUAAUUUGCUGGGCGGCCUGCGCACAAUGAUUUGUUAUACAUAGUUGAAAUAUUUCAAGAAUUUAUCAACCUCAUACUCUGAAACCCUUGGUGCAAUGUACUCUGCUUUCCGAGGUAGACUGUUCACGUAAAAUGAGGUCAUGCGUAAGACGGAAUCGGAUUGGAUUCACAGGGAAUCAGAUUUGGAUAGCACCUUUUAGCAGGUUUUUAGUCAAAUGCAAAUUCGGAUCCACAUGUGGUUGAAUGCGAGUUCAAAAUUCUACUUGGAUAUCCAUUUAAUUUAGGUGAUAGCAAUUAGCACAAAAUGUUGGAUGAACAAAAUCAUAGUUAGACAUACAAUUACAUGUAUGGUUAAAGUAUAAUACAAUACACCAAGAUUAUUCCUUGAAAAUAUUUCUUAAAAAUAUUAUAAUAAAUGAAUAAAUAUAAUUGUGGCCACCAACAAAUAGUCGGUGGUCGCUAAGUUGGAGCCAUUUCUGGUUACUAAUGCGGCCUUCUCCUCGACCAGCGACGACAGCUGAGCUUGUUCCUUCUGACACUAAAUCAUCAGAGUCUUCCCUCCACUACUAUAGAAUGCACCUUUAGCACCAAUUGGGAAAUCCCCUUCAGUAUUGGAUGCUGCAACCAGUGCUAUAUAUCAAAAUGGAGACUAAAAGCCUCGGUCUUGGGUACCGGUUGCAUAACGCAUUACUAAAGGAGGCAAAAGAGAAAUGUAACAAAAAAAAUAUUUUGAAUUCCAAGAAUGUUUCACUAUUCAAGAUGACUAGCUGAGAGUCAACAGACAAGAUACUAGGAAUGUGGGUGCUUGAAUGCAUUUGUACAGAGGUCAUACUAUUUACAAACUCUUCUAUGUUUCCAUAUGACUACCUACUUCAAUGUCACGCGAGCCAUUCAGCUGGACACAUGGCACACUAGCUUGCAUGUCGAAUCCAUGAUUAAUUAUUUGCACUUGUGAUCUCUUACCAGUAUUUGUCCAGACUAGAAACGUGCAACACAUUUUUAGGAUAUGGACACGCAUAUAUUUGGACUAGUAUACAGGUCACCUUUGGAUGCGUACAAGGAUGACCGGGAGGGACUAAUGGAUACAAGGAAGGGACCAUCAGGAUUAAUAUUGACAUAUGCCACAUGACAAUCUUCAUUGUCAUGCAAUCCCUAUCAACAAUCAUGGAAUCCCUAGUGUACUAAUCCCUGGAGGGUUGUGUGGAAAUUUAUUUUACCUUGCGGUGAAAAUCUCAUGAGCAGUCAUUAGUUAAGCUGACUAGCUGAGAUAUAAUAGACAAGCUAGUAAGAUUGGGAGCAUCAAUGCAUCCAUACAGGGUCACAAUAUCCUUUCCAUUCACUUUUAUAUAUAACCCUACGAAUACAAGUCCAACGAAAUGCGGGCCUUUCGAUCAAGAUAAAUUAAAUGGCCCACUUGUAUUUCUAAUCCAGGAUUAACUAUGCCCUCUGUUCAUCUCUUGCAAGCACGUGCAACACAUUUUCACGAUAUGGACAUGCAUGGAGGUUAUUAUACUGUUUGGACAAACUCUGAUGUGCCAUGACCUAAAUGCUUAGGGCCUGUUUGGUUUGAGUUGCUUAUUAUAAGCAACUUAAAGUUGCUUAAAGUUGCUUAUUUGAAGUUGCUUAUUUUUAGUCUAAACUGUUUGGAUACCCUUGCUUAUGAGCAUUGAAUGAGUUGGACAUUGUCAAAUUUGCCCCAUGUGUUGCUACCCCUCCAAUUUGCCUCCCCACCCUUCUUCUUCCUGCACACGUCCGAUCCCGGGGGCCGACGGCGGGCAGGGAGCAGCAGCAGCUGGCCAGGGCGGCGGUGGGGCGGGAGCGGCGGCGCACACCAGCACGCGCUCGCACGCCAGGUGCUAGGGCGCGGCGAGGCAGUCGUCGUAGCCCACCGGGAGCGGGUGCUCGGGCGCGAGGCGGUACUCGACGGAGAUGCCGAGCGUCGGGCGCGCGGCGGCGAGCGCGUUGAGGAAGCGAUGGUAGUGCGGCGACGUCGCGGACUCCGCCACGAAGCCGCCGCCGUGGACGUACACCACCACGGGCAGCUUCGUCUUGCCGUCGGCGGCCGCGGCCGCGGCCUGGGGUGGCAGGUAGAGGCGGACGGAGCAGGAGCCGAGGUCGACGUCCCUGGAGUCGACGCCCGUGGCGGCGUCCAGGCUGGGCCCGACCGGCGGCGGCACGAGCGGGCGCUCGAUGCGGCCGCUCUUGUAAAUCCGACGGGUCUGUGCGGAGGCGGGCGGCGGGCGGGAGCGGCGGGUGGGAGCGGCGGCAGGUGGUGCGGAGGCCGGCGGCGGCGGGUGGCGCGGAGGAAGGGGAGCUGGUGAGUGGUGACAGGGGAGGGGGGGAGAGAGAGGGGGGGUAGGGUGCAUUGAAUGAGGGCAGGAGGUGUAAAGUGCACCUUUUAGUCCCCAUGAGCAACCAUAAGCAGCCCAAGAGUUGCUUAUUUGCUUAUAAUAAGCAACCUCAUAAGCAAGAGUGAUUGGUUUCAUAAGCAACUUAUUUGCUUAUUUUAAGUUGCUUAUGCAUAAGCAUGUGAAACCAAGCAGGUCCUUAACCUAUGGUUGUGGCACCACACAGUACAUAGUAUUUAAUAAUGCUAUUCGUUUGGUAUGUGCACAAGGGCACGCAUGAAAUGUCUGGCCCACGGUAAACAAGUACGGACGCUGCAAAUAAUCUACUCUGCUCGUCCAGUCCCUAGCCUAUAAAUAGAUGCCAUGCUAGCUCUUGUUGUGCUCACAAUUAAUCCUGACUACACACGAGCUUCUCUCCCUGGCCAAGACACAAUCAUAGUAUGAUGAAGAACAUGGCACUAGCCGGCAAUGGUAUGAAGAACUUAAUCCUCGCUGUUCUCUUACUGUGUCUAGUUAUAGGGCAGAUACAAGUGGAAGCUAAGAGCUGCUGCCCAUCCAUUACUGCAAGAAAUAUCUACAAUGCCUGCCGUAUCACGGGUACAUCCCGUCCAACGUGUGCAAAACUGUCAGGCUGCAAAAUUAUCAGCGGGGACAAAUGCAAGCCCCCUAACGACCACCUCACCCUUGACCCGGACACUGGUAAAUAAUAAAUUUAUCUCACUUGAUUUCUUCGUGUUUUGAGUCGUUAAUGUAUUUUCCAUCUGAUGAAACGUAUUGGUUUUGCAUUGAAGAGGAAGUUAAUGUGCUUAACUUCUGCAAGUUGGGGUGUGCGUCGUCUGUGUGCAACAACAUCAACGCUGGUAAGCACCUUUUGCUCAGACGGAGAAAACAAUAAUCAUUAAUUAGCGGCAGCUAGAAUCCUAUAAUCUAAUAUAUUUAUAUAUAUAUAUAAUUUUAUCAGCUCUGGGAAAUGAAGAGGCGAACGAUGCCGUUGAGAGUUGCGACCAAGCCUGCUCUAGCUUCUGCAACGUGCACGUUGGCGCUGCCACCGUGGUUGCUUAAGCAAAUGCAUCCAACUGGAUCGUCCUUGUGCUAAAUAAUUGGAUAUCGUAUCCACUUAAAGCUGCCUUGUGUAGUACGUUUUUGUUUGUGUCUCUCUUUAUAUUCCAAUAAGGUCGGUGAUCUU